rnacentral:lncRNA from 1 species
AGCCCAAUUGCUAACUACAAGUAGGGUAGUCUGUCCUCAGAGUGCUUGUAAAUGCAUGGCAGGACUGCUACUGGGCCACCUGGGUCCCUGUCAAUGACUUGUGCUUCAGCCUUGGAGGCAGCAGCACCCCGCUUUCAGCAGAGGAUGUCUGUGGGGCUCCAGGUAUGCGGAGUUGCAGGGGUUGCUGGGCCUCAGGGCAGGAUGUAGUCUGCUGGGGACUGGGCUCUCAAAAUGGCGUCUUGCUGUGGCUGCUUAGGGCUCAGGGGAUGUGUGGGACCUAGCGUGAGUUUCCCCCUGGAGCAAUGCCAUCUGUGAUCUCCAGGACGCUCCCUAUGUUAGUCACAGGGCUUGUGUGGGUCGAGGGGCUCUCGUAGGGCUGGGAUUGCAGUAGUCCAUGAUGGGAAUGCAGACCGCUGUGGGUAAGUCAUUUACUCUUUCCUCACACUGGGGAGCCUCUCCAGGCUCCCAGCCAGUCCUGGCAGACUGUCUCUCUUACCGCUUGCGCUCCUUCCUCACCUCAGGUGUUUUCUGUCACUUCUCCGUUAAAUCCAGUGUUCUCUUUUUGGUGGUGUAUUAAACGUGUGAUUAUGCGCUGUUUCACUUCUUGAUGGAGGAGGCAAGGACCAGAUGCCUCUAGUUAGCCAUCUUGGAGCCCCUCCAAGGCCCUACUUGUCAAUAUCAUUACAACAGGGAAUACGUUUUAAUCUAAACUGUGGAGGAAGUGCAUUCAAACCAUAACAUUGUACUUUACAAAAUGAAUAAAUUAAUUUGUGGGAAAAUGGCCUUUUAUCAGAGUUUGAGAUGCGUCCUCUAGAGGAGUCUAGCACCGCUGGGAAAUCAGUCCAGAGGCAUUUCGACAGUUGGGAUAUGAAAAAAAGGAAAAUUUCCUAAAGAAGAUGUCGAUUUCCAAUGCAUUUAAAAACAACCACAAGAAGAAGCCACUGAUUAACAAAGUUAUCUAACAAUGGCAGUGAGGGAGAGCAACACCUUGACAGCGUUUUCAUGGUGUCUCAGAAGGGGAAAGAUUACGGACAGAUGUUUAUAGGAUUUGUGGUCUUGCAUCAAAUGCUUUGAGGCAGCUCUCUGAAGGCCAGGAUUUAUGGGGCUUAGACAAAAUUUAUUAUAUAGCAGUUUAGGAUUGAUGGAUACAGCCAAGGUGAGUGUCUUGAAGCUACCUGAUUCAGUAAACAGUGGUUGCUUAAGCAAGCUGUUUCCCCAGGUGAGCAACCUGUUGUCUGAAUAAAUUGGUUUUCAGGAAUUUCCGGAAGGAAACAGCAAUUUAUUGUUAGACAGAAUUAUUUUCCUGGGCUAGAAUUUCCUGGAACAAAUAGUCAAUUCUUGUUGACGUUUAAGUGGUCUCAGUUUUCAGUAUCGAUGAGUUAACCCACAGGAGGAAGCGGGAGACUCAUUUCUCGGUUCUCUGUGUGAUCAUUCUUCAGCUGUGAUGGAGGAUAGCCAUUACCAUGUGGGGACUUGAUCCAUCUGAAUCUGCACUGUACUUUGUGGUGUGAUCAUGAAUCAGGUUUCCUGGUAGGCAAUUUUCCUGCUUUUUGUCGGAUAGACAUUUGGUUGGAUGAUUUGACAGUGCUAUGGCUGCGCAGCAGCAUUUUUAAGACUGAGUUCAUGCAUUUGAGCGCUGUAACACAGAGUGAUGCUACAGUGAGGAGUCAUGGUGAGACUUCUAUGCCAGGAGCCAAGAGUGUCCAGAUUAAAACAAGAGAACAGAUCCCAUCCCUAAUUUGAAGAGCCAGAGUAGCCAUACUCAGCGGAGGGGGAUUAAUAUCCAAAUUGCCUAAUUUUAGGGUCUCUUUGUUUGCUGCACAAUCUUACAAGAUUAAGCCAGGGUCAGCAAGCAAUUGCCAGCAGGCCAAAUCUGCUCUCUUACCAUCUGUUUUGUAAAUAAAGUUUUAUUGGAACAUAUGGCUAUGCUCUGCUGACCCUAAUGAUAUUUCUAAUUUUUUUUAAGGUGUAAGCUGAAGUUAUUAAUUUGAGACCUUAUUUCCAUUUUUUUGUUUUUGUUUUUGUUUUUGUCUUUUUUAAGACGGAGUCUCACUUUGUCACCCAGGCUGGAGUGCAAUGGCACAAUCUCGGCUCACUGCAACCUGCACCUCCUGUGUUCAAGUGAUUCUCCUGUCUCAGCCUCCCGAGUAGCUGGGAUUAUAGGUGUGCACCACCACGCCGGGCUAAUUUUUGUGUUUUUAGUAGAGACAGGCUUUCACCAUGUUGGCCAGGCUGGUCUUGAACUCCUGACCUCAAGUGAUUCACCUCCCACUCGGCCUUCCAAAGUGCUGGGAUUACAGGCAUGAACCACCACACCUGGUCAAGACCUUGUAUCCUAAUAUUAGACUUUCUCUAUUUUUAAGCAAUUUGUUGACCUUCUUGAAUCUGUGGUUUUCAUAAACUUUGGGAGAUUUUUGGCCAUUAUUUUUUCAAAUAUUUUUUUCCAACAUAUCCCUCAUUUCCUUCAGGGACUGCAAUUUACGCAUUAGUUUGAAGUUGUCCCAUAACUCACUGACACACUUCUGUUUCUCAUUUUGUGUACUUUUUAUCUCUCAAUUCUUAAAGUCACUAGUCUUCUGAAAUUUCCAAUUUGCCUUUAAUUCUACUCAGUGUGUUUUUCAUCUCACAUAAUGUUUUCAUCUCUAAAGUUUGAUUUUUAGUCUUUUUAUAUCUUCCAUGUUUCUGCUUACCAUGUUCAGUCUUUCCUCUGGCUUCUUGAACAUGCGAAGUACAAUUACAGUUCUUCUAAUGUCUUUGCCGAUUCUAUCAUCUUUGUCAUUUCUGGGUUAGUUUCAAAUGACUGAUUUUUCUCUUCAUUAUGGGUCAUAUUUUUGUGGACAGUUUUUGGAUCCUUUUGUAUUUCUAUAAAUACUUUUGAACUUUGUUCUAGAACACACUUAAAAUUACUUGCAAAUAGUUUGACCCUUUAUCUUAAUUUUGUGCUUUGUUAGAUGGUAUUUCUAUAAAUAUUCUUGAACUUUAUUUUGAAACUCAGUUACUUAUAAACAGUUUGAUUCUUUUGGGUCUUAUUUUGAGUUUCAUUAUGUGGUAUCAGAGUAGUAUUUAGUCUAAGUUCUAUGUUACUGCAUGACUGAAGCAAAAAUUCUUCCAAGUAUGCUACUCAAUGCCCAUUUCCUAUAGAAACAGGAAUGAUUCUGAGCCCUGGAUUCUAUACCCCGUAAUCAUUCCAGCUGAUUCUUUCCCCAGUCAUGGGUAGUUUCCUCACAUGCAUAUGCUGACUCAUGCUCAGCUGAAGACCCUGUACAGAUCCCCAGUGUUCUCUCUGCACAGCUGUCUCCUUUCCCAUAUCUUUCCUUGCAAACUCUACUCACUUUGCCCUCCCCAGACUCCACUUAGGGAGAUGGCAGGGUUCCAUCUGGGUUUUCCCUUUCUGUACCACAGUCUUGAUACUCACUCCAGACAGUAAGCUGUGGCGAACAUAAGAUUCAUCUUGUUUCUUGUUUCUCUUGGAUCACUAUUCUUCAUUGCCUGAUGUCUUGAAAAAUCUUUUUAUUUUUCAAUAUUGUGUCUGUUUUUUUUUCCACUGGUUUACUGGAGAGUAAAUCUGGUCCCUGUUUCUUCAUUUUGGCCAGAAGCAGAAAUCUAUUCAUAGUAUUUUUUCAAAAAGCUUCUCUGGUGGUUUUUAUUCACACCCUCAAUAUACAACUGCUGCUAUAAAUUUUCUGUAAGAUAUUAGUAAGUGACCCAGAGCAAAGUUUAUUCUAUAAGAAUGCCAGUUUGAUGAGACCCGCUGAUAUUAUUGUAUCUUUGAGCCAGUUUGAGGACAAAAUUGCCAGGUCUACGGCUGUCUUCUUCCCUGUGAGCUUCUUCUCAUAGACUCACAACAAAUAGGAUAAAAGACAAAAAGAGUAAUGUUACUAGUAAUAAAACAUUUCCACAAAGAAUAAACAUUUUCAAAUCUGAUCAGAUAAUCCAGGAAUUUCUUAAAAGUUUCUUAUUUCUAGGAAGAAAAAUAAACAAUUUAAGAGCUUUAUGGAAAGGACACCGGGACUCAAAUCCAAUGAGAGACUUACCUUAACACUGCAGUGGGGGAGGCUUCCAAAUGGCAAACUUCAGAAGAACACACUGUUUAGGGCUAAGGUUCUUAAACUGCAGGAGCAGAAAUUAUUGAGUGAAUCCUACUGAGGCCCCAGAACUGUUGAUUGCUGACUUUCAAAGAAGACCAUCAGAAUAAACUAUUGAUCAAACAAAGCUAAGUUUAUUAACCUGCAGUAAGAGAGUGCAACACCUUGAAAAAGUCCUUAUAAUUCUCAAAAGGGAGAGGUCACAGGUAGAUAUUUAUAAACAUUAAGGGUCUGAGCUCAAGUGGUUUAAAGUCAGGCCUUUCAAGGAAGAAAUCUGGUGGAAAUUCGGCAAAGUUCAUGAUAUUAUAGUUUAGAAUUGGUGGACAUUGUGAUAAGAGGGUCUUGAAGUCCUGAAAAAUAGAUCUUUGAUAAACAAGUUAUUAGACUUGGAGAGGAAUCUGUUGUCCUGAAAAGGGGUUUAUUUUUUCAAAUGAGCAAUCUAUCAUCUGAAUAAAUUGGUUUUCAGAAAUUUUCUGAAGUAAACAUUGAUGUUAUUUAUUGUACACCGUCUUAUCUUCCUGGACAAGAAUUUUCUUGAACAAAUAGUAAAGUCAUAGUGACACAGAUGGUUUGUUUUCCAUACUGAUAGUUAAGCUAUGAGGAUGCAGGUGGUCUCAGUUAGAGAUAAGAAUGGACCUAUUGAAGAGGAAAGCCUACAGAACUGGGUAUGAUUAGACUUCAUAGGGUCUGGUUAUGAUCUGACCAACAAACUAGCUGGAAGAUUUGAACAAAUGACAUCACCUUUCUGAGCCUCACUGGACUUAACAGCUGGACUGACACUACCUGGGACACCACCACACAGAGCCCAGAGUGAACAGAGUGCAGCUCUUCACCCAGAGCUAUGCCCCUCUACCCUUUGUAUAAUUCCUGGUUCAUGGGACGGUAACAGAUUUGAGGUCUGUCAUACCUGGGCAUCAGAAUGAAAAGUUGCCUCCUGGUAGGUGAGUUGCCUCUAUUGAAUGUUGCUGCAGUCUGAAUGUUUGUGUCUACCCAAAAUUCAUAUUUUGAAAUCCUAAACCCUAAGGUGAUGGGGCUUUUUGAUAGGUGAUUAGGUCAUGAGGGUUGAGUCCUCAUGAUCGGGAUUAGUGUCCUUAUAAAUCAGGCACAGAAAGUGACCUUGCUGCUUUCACUGUGUAGGGAUGGGACCACACCAGACAGUGAAUCUGCUGGCAGCAUGAUCUCGGACUUCUCAGCCUCCAGAACUGUGAGAAAUAAAUGUUCGUUGUUUAUAAACCACCCAGUUUAUGGUAUUUUUGUUAAAGCAGCCUAAAUGAACUAAGACAAAUGUUUAUAUAACUUGGGUUUUCCAAGGCCUCACCACAUUGUAAGUAGAAAUAGGGUUACGUUAACAGUAACAACUAAACUUUAGUGGUUCUUGCCACUAGCAAGGCAAGCAAGACCCUACUACCUGGGGAGAAGGGAGUCUCGCAAGGGCUCCUUGCAUAUGUGCACAUACACAAGUCAAGGCCACUGCUGCUUCUGCUACCCCUUCUCAGUGCUAUUGCUCCUAUCCAGCGUCUGCUGGGAACCCCUCUCCCAGAAGGUCUAAGAGGAACUGCCUGGUGUCCCAGGUAUCUCCUGAGAAAGGGACCACUGUUGUGCUGGCUCCCUCAGGGAGCUAGAGCUGCCCAGAGGUCUCUGGGGACAGGGAAAUUGGCUCUCCCCAUUUUGUGUUAUAAUCAGUUGAAUGAUCCCUAUGGUAUCCUUGAAUUCCUUUGUGUUAUAGAGUUUAGUAAAACAACACUUUCAAUUGAUCCUCCCAGUUAGAGGUAUAUUGAAUACACAUUUUGGCCAUAUAUGGAAAGGCGUAGUUUGGCAUAAGCUGAGGCUAAAGAUAAAUAUCAGCAUCAUAGAGUACACUUAUGGAAUGUGAAUACAUCUGAAAUUUUAUUUUAAAAUUGAUGAUUAUACUAUACAAUUCCAUUUAUAUAAACUUCUCAAAAGAUGAAACAAUUGGGAUGGAGAACUAGUAGCUGUUCCUAGUGUCAUGGAGUAGGGUAUUAUGAGGAAGCUUUUUAGGUGGUGAAACUGAUCCAGAUGGUGAUCCUACUGGUGGUUACAUGAACAAUGUUUGUGUUAAAAUUUACAGAACUGUAACUGUCUAAUGGGUUCUUCUUGCCUGCUGCUCAGAUAAAGCUGAUUUAUCAAGAUAGGGCAAUUGCAGUAGAGAAAGAGUUUAAUACAAAUAGAGCCAGCUAAACAGGAGACCAGAGUUUUAUUAUUACCCAAAUCAGCCUCCCUGAAAAUUUGGAGGCUAGAGUUUUUCAAGAGUAAUUUGGUGGGCAAAGGAAUGGGUGCUGCUGAUUGGUUGGGGAUGCAAUCAUAUGGGUGUGGAAAAUGGUCCUCGUGUGCCCUGAGUCAGCUUCCAGUAAGGGUCCACAGAGGAGUCACUGGUUCAGGACACUGGGUCAUCAGAAAUGCAAAAGCCUGACAAGACAUCUCAAAAGGUCAACUUUAGGUUCUACAAUAGUAAUUUUAGGUUCUACAAUAGUAACGUUAUUUACAGGAGUAAUUGAGGAAGUUGAAAAUCUUGUGACCUCUGGAAUAAUGGCUGGUAAUCACUUAACUAUGCCUAUAUCUUAGCAGAAUUCAGGCCCUCCUAUCUUCGUAAACUGGUGGCCUUUCAUUAGUUUUACAAAGGCAGUUUAGUUUUGGAAAGAGCUAUUAUCAUUUAAACUAUAACCUAAAUUUCUCCCAAAGUUAGCUUAGGCCAUGCCCAGGAAUGAAGGGCAGUUUGGAGGUUAAAGGCAAUGUGGAGUUGGUUAGGUCAAAUUUCUUUCACUGUCAAAGUUUUCUCAGUGUUGCAAUUUUUGCAAAGGUGGUUUCAGAACUGUACAUCAAAAGGAAAAAAAAUCAAUUUUACUGUAUGAUAAUUUUAACAAUAAUAUAAAUUAAUGAUUAGUGCAGGUUUUUUUUUUAAGUUGUAUAAAAUUUUUAUAGUUUGACAUGAUAGUGACUCAGAAUUUUCAGCUGCCAGAUUCCUUUUGUGGUCACCAUCGCAUGUUUCUGAUACAGAUUGAAUAUCCCUUGUCCUAAAUGCUUGGAACUGGAAGUGUUUUGGAUUUCAUUUUUUUGAAAUAUUUUGGGAUAUACACAAUGAGAUAUCUCACUGAUGAGAACUGUCUAAACACAGAAUUCUUUUCUAUUUCAUAUACACCUUUUACACUGACAACUGAAAUGAGUAAUUGAAGCAUAAGUUUCAAAGCAUCAAGCUUUGUUGAGCCAGCUUGAAGGCAUACCUGGGAAAAUAGAGAGUCACAGAAGCAUGUGUGACUGUUUUUUCCAAAGAGGUUCUUAGGAGGUUUAGUAUUUAUAUAUUUUCCUUAAAAGGCAGGGGAGGUGGUGGGGCAGCAGUGAGACAAAUGAUUACAUACUUGUAAAACUUUAGUUAGUGCCUGGUAAAUCUACAUCUUACAUAAAAUAAGGUGAACAUAAUGAAUCUCAUCUGGACUGUUACGUAUCUGGGAAGAUAAGCUAGUAGUCUUUUGGAAAGGCUGGUUUCUGUUUAGCUGUUAAGGAAGAAAACCUAACGACUGUUAGCGAGGGUGGGGAUAUAAUGAGGCAUAUGCCAAAUCUCCCAUCCCAUCAUAGCCAUGAAUUCAGCUUCCAAGGUUUUGCUGGGGUUCCCUUGGCCAAGAGAGAAUCCGCUGGGUCAGUCGGAGGGACUUAGAGUUUUAUUUUUAUUUCCUAACAAAUAGCCUGAAGAUAAUUUUAUACAUAUUUUAAAAUAGUUUUGUUCAUGAAGCAAAGUUUUGAUUGGUACCCAUCACAUGAGAUCAGGUGUAAAAUUUUCUACUUGUGGCAUCAUGUUGGCAUUGAAAAAGUUUCAGAUUUUGGAGCAUUUCAGAUUUCAGAUUUUCAGAUUAGGGAUGUUCAACCUGUACUAAGGAGUUACUGGCUUUCGAAUGGCAUGUUUAAUAAUUUCACCUUCUGGGGAAUAACACAGCCAAAUACAAAUCAGGAAAAUGUCUUUCAGUAAUUUGUUUUCUAGAAGAAACUUUGCAUGCAUUUACAUAGCUUAGAUAAAUGAGAAACUCCGAAGCUUCAACUAUUGAAAAUAUUUGCUAGCUUGUAAAAAUCAAUUUAAUAUUAGAAUAGUCUCUAUAAAUUCAAAAUAAGAAAUUGUCUUCUGUGUUCUGAAGUUUGAUUUGUGAAUAAAAUGCAUGUCAGAACUCAGCUAAAAUACAUUCAUUUUUUUCUAUCAAAUUUUACUUAUCUUUUUGGUGUAUAUGAUUUCAGAUACAUUUCUCUCCAUGAAAUUUUGAAAUGUCAGAUGGCAUUCUGCUUUUAAUUCAGCCUCAUAUAAUGCAAAAAAUAAGACUUAUGACUUACUGGAAUUAAAUAAUUAAAAAUAUCAUUCUUUAAGCUUACUUUUUGAGUAUUGUGAAUGCAAUUAUACCAAAACAAUUCUACAAAGAUUCUAAUUAUGAAGUAAUCUAAUAUCAUCAUAGUAAUUAAAUCUAUAUAAGCUUUUGUUGACUCAAUACAAUUAUAUUAUUUUCUACAUUAGUUAUCUAGCUAAUCCUCUUAAUAUUCCUACUGCCAAUCAAGCUCCCAAAUUUAAUUACUUAAACAUUUUAUUAAUAGCUUUUUUUUUUAACAUAAAUUAACAGCUCUCAUAAACAUUAUUUGUUGGAAUAUCUUAUUUUGGGGAUAAGCCGUAUACAUUUCUUCCUCAGCUGACUGGUAGAAUUUCAACAUAUAAAGCACCUAAGAAGAUUUCACUCCAAGUUAGAAUGCUUACAUAUGUUUGAAAGGCAAUGUAGAGAUAUUAACAAUAUCUUUAAUGGCAUGCCUUCUUUAAGUAGCUGUUGUUGUUACACUGAUUAGAUAUGUAAUCAUAUGAUCACAGGGAUGCCAGAAAGAAUGAUGAAGUGGGCUCUCUGAAGGCUGAAGCAGAAAGACUGAUUAUUGCCAAAUGCUGAACCAAAACCAAGUCUGUGCAGUCCUACUUACAAGCUUUUCUAUCAACAACAUGGGCACCUACUUCCUGUUGACAAAGUCUGAAAAAGAAAAAACAAAACAAAAUACACCCACACAGUCAUGAAUCAAUUGAGCUGGGUAGAGCCGUGUCUAAAAAACAGAAGAUACCAUGCUGUAUUGAGAAGUACUUCUCCUUCUGACUCUGGCUUAAUUACUGAAUCCUGCCAGGUUCUCUUUUUCUUUUUCUCUUUUCUUUCUUUCUUUUUUUUUUUUUUUUUUUUUAGACUGAGUUUUGCUCUUGUUGCCCAGGCUGGACUGCAAUGGCGCGAUCUUGGCUCACAGCAACCUCCGCCUCAGCCUCCCGAGUAGAUGGGAUUACAGGCGCCUGCCACUAUGCCUGGCUAAUUUUUGUAUUUUUUUUUUUUUUUUUUUUUUUUUUUUAAGAGACAGAGUUUUACCAUGUUGGCCAAGCUGGUCCUGAACUCCUGACCUCAGGUAAUCCACUGGCCUCGGCCUCCCAAAGUGCUGGGAUUACAGGUAUGAGCCUCCGCACCCAGCCAUGGUUCCGUCUUUUUCUAAGUCCUCAUGACUUGAUUGUGCACAGGCCCACCGUUCCAACCUUCCAUGCUAUCAUAUAUUCCUGAGUGUAUCUAAGUUCCUGUUAGCCUUCUGCUACAUGUAUAUACAUAUACAUAUUAUUUUUUAGUACCUGCUAAAUAACAGGCACUAUGUAUGCUAAAAAAGAGAGUGUAUAUCUAUCUAUAUUCAUAUGUGUGUAUAUAUUUCUAAUAAAUUUCUAAUAUAAUUUUAUGAGGGACUUCCACUUAAACAUGGGGAUUGAAUGUACAUAUUUUUCUAUUUCUCCACAAAAACGACAGCAAAAGAAUUUUUUAAAAUGGCAUAAGCUUGCAAGGACAAAGGCAAUGGAAAAGAAGCUGACACACAACAUUUCAGAAACUGGAAGCAGCCAGGUAGGUCAUAAUUGACUUGGGAACAGAGUGAGCAGAAACCUAAGGCAAGUAAGGGAAAUGCAUCAGUAAGCUAAUUUACUCCAUAGAAUUCCAGGAAGACUUGGAAAAUUGAGGAUCCAGGGACUUAUGGAAGUGGGGACACUGGUGGGUUUCAAAAACAGGAGGGUCAGUUGAAAAUUUAUAAAUAAAGCAGUUAAAAUAUUUUCACCCACCUCAUGUCAUUGGAUGACUACCUUUCACUCACGCCGGUUCUAAACAUACACCCUCUGGAGAGGCUGAUUCCAAAGGGAUUCAGGACUCAGAUGUGGCAACCAUUGCUGAGAAAAAGGCUACAAUAUUAGAACCAGACUACCAUAUUAGAACCAAGUACAUAUUCUGCAUUGAGAAACCCCAGCUCCUUCUCAUACUCAGCUGGUAGAAUUAUGGCACCAAAGAGAUUGGAGUAAGAUCACCAGGAAAACCAACAAUCCAAGAAAAAAAAUCUAAAAACGGCAACAGGUUUUUGGAUGUCCUUCAGUGAAAUGUCCAAGCAAGAAUAUCCCCAUGAAGCUUUCCAGUCAACAAACCUUGUACACACACAGGAUUUUCACUUGGCUUUCUAAUGUCUAACUCUUCAAUACGAACUGACUGCCAAGGAUUAUCAGACAAUGUGAGGAAAACCUCUCGCAUAAAAGACCAAAAAACAGAAAAGAAACUAAGAUGACACAAGAACUGUGAGGUGAGCAACAGAAAGUCUAAAGCAAAUUCUAAUAAAUACCAGAAGGUAACACAUCCAUGAAAUGGAUGGAAAUGAGCCAUGUAAGAAUUUGACUUGUAAACAAUGUAACUAUAUUACUCCUACAAAUUUAUUUCUUUAAUUUAAAAAACGAAUUAGUAAAUAAAACAGCCAUGUGUAAUGACUCUUACAAGAAAGAAAAUUGGAGCUCAGAUUAAAGAAUAUGCCCAGAGUGACACAUUUGAAGCUGGGUGUGUCUCAUUGCAGGUCCAGACAUUUCCAGAUUUCUCCUGGAGUCCAAGGGGCAUGUCAGUGGACCCCGGAUGUUUCAAGCAGUAUCUUGGAUUGCUCUUGGGAAAAAUCUCUCUACAUUCUUCACCCUUAGGUUACUGUCACCCUUCAUUACUACUACAAAUCUUCCUCAAGACAAGUUUCAGGCUGGGGAUAUACAUUGAAGAACUUCAACUCUUUCUUAAGUUCUUAAGUGAGAGAGCAAUCUCAUCAGCAUAUUUUUUGAAAGCCACUGCUCAGAUCAAAAGCAGGCCUGGGAAUGAUUCAGGAAGAAACACUUGGCUCUUGUACCAUGAGACCUGAACCUGGAAUUUCUCUUGAGGUCUUCCUUGAUGGACGGAACGCUUUUAUUCUUCUUAUUCAAGAAAACGAGUUCACAUAGGUCAUGGUACUAGUAACCUUAGCAUAACAAGAAGGAAGGAUGGAAUUAUAAAAUGCUCUUGGGUAUGUUUUUUCUUCUCCUUCAUCCUGAAUAACCCUAGGGCUAUGUGGGGAGAGAGGAGACUACAUUCUCAACAGUGAGACCUAGUUCCUGUCAAGGUAAGUUUGUGUUUUGAAACUAGCUGCUUGUUAGCAUAUGCGUAAAUUAUAGAAAAAAGGAAAAUGUUCACAGGAGUCAAACUUGUUCUCCUCUUCCUCUUCUUCGUAAGUUCUAGAGCUGACAAACACUGGGGUAUACUGCAAUAAACCAUGUUCCAAUUCCUAUAAAAAAUACUAAUUAUUGUCAGAAUUAUUUCAUGAAUCCUGAACACAUUUGAUGCUCAUUGACUUCAAGAAAAGGGACGAGACUGGCUGCUACAAGAAGGCAUCUACAAAACAUUUGAGAAUGCCAGGAGUGCAAAGAAUGAAUUGCUAGGAUUUUCUGUGUUCACCCCUAUUCAACUAGCCUUAAACAUGGGAAUAAAAAUGUUUUAAGUACACGUACAUGAACAUGUAUAUAUGUGUAUGCAUAUCAGAGGCUUGGUCAAAACUCAGCCAACAUAGGCUAGAAACUGCUUUGCCACUCUUGGAAGCCACAGAUUUGCUGUUUUAACUUCUCUGCACUUAUAUUUCUAACUUGUAAAAUAAAAAUAGAUCACCUAAGAGAGAAGGCUGGAAUUCAACACGGAAGUGACACCUAGCAUGAAAAACAAGAGGAAAGUGAAGUAGCCUGCUCAGCUGGGAUUAGCAGGGAGUCUGGAGGGGCUCCCUAAUGUGAGGAAAGAGUAGGUGAGUAGCCCCCAGUGGCCCACCUUCCUACCAUGGACUCCUGCAAUCCUAGCCACUGGAGAGUCCUUUGACCCACACAAGCCCUGAGAAAAAAGGAAAAACGUUCACAGGAGUCAAACUUGUUCUCCUCUUCCUCUUCUUCGUAAGUUCUAGAGCUGACAAACACUGCGGUAUACUGCAAUAAACCAUGUUCCAAUUCCUAUAAAAAAUACUAAUUAUUGUCAGAAUUAUUUCAUGAAUCCUGAACACAUUUGAUGCUCAUUGACUUCAAGAAAAGGGACGAGACUGGCUGCUACAAGAAGGCAUCUACAAAACAUUUGAGAAUGCCAGGAGCGCAAAGAAUGAAUUGCUAGGACAUAGGGCACUGGCUGGAGACCCCAUGAUGGCAUUGCUUCAUAUGGGGAGCUCACACUGGGUCACCCCACCCACCCUCCCUCUUACCCCACUCUUAAGGCACUCCAGCAAGGUACCAUUUUGAAAGCCCAGCAGACUGCAUCCUACCCUGGGACCCCACAGACCUUGCAACUCCAGAUUCCUUGAGCCCCAUUGACCUCCCCCUAACGCAGACCCUGCUGCUGCUGGCUGCUGCCUCCAUAUCCAAUGUGGGGGCCACUGGAAGCUACCCACCAUCCCCAUCAGCAGGGUACCGUACAUUUAGAAGCACCCUGAGAACAGGCUACCCCACCAGCAACUACCACCUGGGGCCAAAGUGUGUGCUCCCAGUGGCCCUCCUAAGGCUUCUGCCAAUGAAAGCAACCCCAGCAACAUGGCUAGGGUGUAGCUGCUGGUCCUCCCAUCCAAGCAUUCCACUGAGGGCCUGGAAAUCACCAUGCCCCUGCCUACCAUAGCUAGUGCCUAUAUAUACCAUCGGGGGGCCUGAGGCUCACCUCUGUCUCCCUUCUCCCUAGUGCCCAUGCAGGGGCCUGGGGAUUGCUCAGCCCCAUCUAUUCCUGUUGGCGCCUGAGCACUCAUCCUGAAGGCCUGGAGAUGGGUUCACCCAACCUGCCACUACCAUCACAGCCAGCAUACACCCCCCACCCACAGACAUGAACCACCUGUGGGCCUGGGAAAUGGCCUGCAGCCACCUUGAAAAUCAGUUGGGACUACUUGGGUACCAGAGGAUUGUCCUGCCACUGCAACUGCCAUCACCCACACCAUGCCUGAUGCCCAGGGCCUAUGGACCUGCCCAUCCACCUGGCCCACAGCUGCCAUUGCCAGCACCUCAGCAAGCUGACUGGAAGCCCCCAGAUCAGCCCGCCUGGACACACUAACACUGAUGCCAGCAUAUACCACAUUUACCACCAACUGAUUUUCUAUAAAGGUGCCAAGUAUAUACACUGAGGAAAGGACACUUUCUUCACUAAAUGGAAUAGAAAAAACUGGAUAUCCAUAUGCAGAAGAAUGAAACUGGACCCAUCUCUCACCCUGUACAAAAAUCAACUCAAAUCAGUUAAGGACUUAAACAUAAGACCCAAAAUUAUGAACUACUACAAGAAAACAUAGGGAAAACAAUUCAGGACAUCAGUCUGACCAAAGAUUUUAUAGCUAAGAUCUCUAGAUCACAGGCACCAAAAAGAAAAAUAGACAAAUGGGACUAUAUUAAACUAAAAAUUCUUCUACACAAGAAACCAACAGACUGAAGAUACAGCUUGUUGAAUGGGAGAAAAUAUUUACAAGAUAUUUAUCCAACAAGGGACUAGUAUCCAGAAUAUACAAGGAACUCAAACAACUCAACAGUAAAAGACCACAAAUCAUCCUACUAAAAAGUGGGUAAAGGGCCAGGUGCAGUGGCUUACACCUGUAAUCCCAGCACUGUGGGAGGCUGAGGCAGGUGGAUCACUUGAAACCAGAAGUUUGAGACCAGCCUGGCCAACAUGGUGAAACCCCGUCUCUACUAAAAUACAAAAAUUAGCUGGGCAUGGUGGUGGGCGCCUGUAAUCCCAGCCACUGGGGAGGGGAGGCAGGAGAAUUGCUUGAGCCUAGGAGGCAGAAGUUGCUGUGAGCCACGAUUUCACCACUGCACUCCAGUUUGAGCAACAGAAUGAGACUCUGCCUAAGAAGAAAAAUGGGCAAAGGACAUGAAUAGAUAUUUCUCAAAAAAAGACAAAUGGGCAUAUUAAAAAAUGCUCAACAUCAGUAAUCAUCGGGAAACUGCAAAUUAAAAUCACAAUGAGAUAGCAUCAUACUCCAGUUAAAAUGACUAUUACUAAAAAGACAAAAGUCUGAUGCCUGUAGUCUCAGCUACGCAUGAGGCUGAGGCAGGAGUAUUGCUUAAGGCUAGGAGUUCAAGGCUGCAGUGCAUCCUGAUUGCACCUGUGAAUCACCACUGUUCUUCAGCCUGGGAAACAGGCAACAGAGCAAGACCCUGUCAAAGAAGGAGAAGGAGAAGAUGAAGACGAAAUAUAGAUGCUGGUGAGGAUGCAGAAAAAAGGGAAUUCUUGUUGGUGGGAGUUGGUGGGAAUGUAAACUAGUACAGCCAUUUUGGAAAACAGUAUGGAGAUUUCUCAAAAAACUAAAAACAGCUACCAUACAGUCCAGUAAUCUAACUAGUAUUUAUCCAAAGGAAAGGAAAUUAAUAUAUCAAAGGAAUACCUGCAGCCCAUGUUUAUUGCAGCACCAUUCACAAUUGCAAAGAUAAGGAAUCAACGUAAGUAUCCAUCAUGGAUGAAUGGUUAAAGAAUAUAUAUAUAUACACAAUGGAAUACUAUUCAGCCAUAAACAAGACUAACAUGAUGGCAUUUACAGCAACUUGGAUAGAACUGAAGGGUCAUUAUCUUAAGUGACAUAAGCCAGUCACAGAAAGAAGAAUAUCACAUGUUCUCACUCAUAUGUAAGAGCUAAAAAAGUGGAUCUUAUGGAAGUAGAGAAUAGAAUGAUAGACACCAGAGGAUUGGAAGGGUGUGUGGGUGGUGGGGGGUGAAUGAAGUAGAGGUUGGUUAAUGGGUACAAACACACAGAAGGAAAAAAUUCUAAUAUGCAAUAACAGAGUAGGGUGACUAUAGUAUAGUAUUAUAUGUUUCAAACUUACUAUAAAAGAGGACUUAAGAUGUUCUCAACAUAUAGGUAUAAUCAAUAAUGGAGGUGAUGAAUAGCCCAAAUAGCCUGACUUGAUCAUUACAUGUUCUGUGCAUGUAACAAAAUACUACAUGUAUCCCAUAAAUAUGUACAAAUAUGUCUCCAAAAAAUCAAAUUUUUGUACUGAGUAAUACAGGGAUGGUAAAUACAUUUUGAAAGGUAAUUUGGGCAAGUUAUUAAUACCUCAGCCUAGGAAUUUUGAAAAAUGUAUUCUAAAUACAUGAAAGAAUAGAGAAGUCUGGAAUAACUUAGAUUCGUAGUGUCAUACCAGAAAACUUGGGAACAUUCAAAGACAAAUGAAUGUAAUAAGAAUAAUAGAAUGAAAACAAACAGGUAUUAUUUUCAAUGUCUUUUAAAGUGGCCUUAAAAAAACCCAAAUGCCAUUGCUGGUGAGAGAAGUGAAGAGAGAAUGAAAAAAAAAAGAUAAUUCUUAGCAAGUAAAUUGAAGUUUUAAAUAAAUAACAAUGUAGAGCUGUUUGAGUUUUUAUUAUACUUUAAGUUCUGAGAUACAUGUGCAGAACGUGCAGGUUUGUUACAUAGGUAUACACAUGCCAUGGUGGUUUGCUACACACAUCAACCCAUCAUCUAUAUUAGGUAUUUCUCCUUAAUGCUAUCCCUCCCACAGCCCCCCACCCCUCGACAGUCCCCAGUGUGUGAUGUUCCCCUCCCUGUGUCCAUGUGUUCUCAUUGUUCAACUCCCACAUAUGAGUGAGAAUAUGCAGUGUUUGGUUUUCUGUUCUUGUGUUUGCUGAGAAUGAUGGUUUCCAGCUUCAUCCAUGUCCCUGCAAAGGACAUGAACUCAUCCUUUUUAUGGCUGCAUAGUAUUCCAUGGUGUAUAUGUGCCACAUUUUCUUUAUCCAGUCUAUCCUUGGUGGGCAUUUGUGUUGGUUCCAAGUCUUUGCUAUUGUGAACAGUGCUGCAAUAAACAUACGUGUGCAUGUGUCUUUAUAGUUGAAUGAUUUAUAAUCCUUUGGGUAUAUACCCAGUUAUGGGAUUGCUGGGUCAAAUGGUAUUUCUUGUUCUAGAUCCUUGAGGAAUUGCCACACUGUCUUGCACAAUGGUUUAACUAAUUUACACUCCCACCAACAGUGUAAAAGUGUUCCUGUUUCUCCACAUCCUCUCCAGCAUCUGUUGUUUCCUGACUUUUUAAUGAUCAUUAUUCUAACUGGCAUGAGAUGGUAUCUCGUUGUGGUUUUGAUUUGCAUUUCUCUAAUGACCAGUGAUGAAGAGCUUUUUUUCAUAUGUUUGUUGGCUCCAUAAAUGUCUUCUUUGAGAAGUGUCUGUUUUUAUCCUUCACCCACUUUUUGAUGAGGUUGUUUUUUACCUUGCAAACUUGUUUAAUUUCUUUGUAGAUUCUGGAUAGUAGCCCUUUGUCAGGUGAAUAGAUUGCAAAACUUUUCUCCCACUGUAGGUUGCCUGUUCACUCUGAUGAUAGUUUCUUUUGCUGUGCAGAAGCUCUUUAGUUUAAUUAGAUCCCAUUUGUAAAUUUUGGCUUUUGUUGCCAUUGCUUUUGGUGUUUUAGUCAUGAAAUCUUUGCCCAUGCCUAUGUCCUGAAUGGUAUUGCCUAGGUUUUCUUCUAGAGUUUUUAUGGUUUUAGGUCUUACAUUUAAGUCUUUAAUCCAUCCUGAGUUAAUUUUUGCAUAAGGUAUAAGGAAGGUGUCCAUUUUCAGUUUUCUGCAUAUGACUAGCCAGUUUUCCUAACACCAUUUAUUAAAUAGGGAAUCCUUUCCCCAUUGCUUGUUUUUCUCAGGUUUGUGAAAGAUCAGAUGGUUGUAGAUGGGUGGUGUGAUUUCUGAGGCCUCUGUUCUGUUCCAUUGGUCUAUAUCUCUGUUUUGGUACCAGUAUCAUGCUAUAUUUGUUACUGUAGCCUUGUAGUAUAGUUUGAAGUCAGGUAAUGUGAUGCCUCCAGCUUUAAUUUUUUUUGCUUAGGAUUUUCUUGGCUAUACAGACUCUUUUUUGGUUCCAUAUGAAGUUUAAAGUAGUUUUUUCUAAUUCUGUGAAGAAAGUCAACGGUAGCUUGAUGGGGAUAGCAUUGAAUCUAUAAAUAACUUUGGGCAGUAUGGCCAUUUUGCCAUUUUCAUGAUAUUGAUUCGUCCUAUCCAUGAGUAUGGAAUGCUUUUCCAUUUGUGUCCUCUCUUAUUUCCUUGAGCAGUGGUUUGUAGUUCUCCUUGAGGAGGUCCUUCACAUCCCUUGUAAGUUGUAUUCCUAGGUAUUUUAUUCUCUUCGUAGCAAUUAUGAAUGAGAGUUCACACAUGAUUUGGCUGUUUGUCUGUUACUGGUGUAUAGGGAUGUUUGUGAUUUUUGCACAUUGAUUUUGUAUCCUGAGACUUUGCUGAAGUUGCUUAUCAGCUUAAGGAGAUUUUGGGCUGAGAUGAUGAGUUUUCUAAAUAUACAAUCAUGUCAUCUGCAAACAGAGACAAUAUGACUUCCUCUCUUCCUAUCUGAAUACCCUUUAUUUCUUUCUCUUGCCUGAUUGCCCUGGCCAGAACUUCCAAUACUGUGUUGAAUAGGAAUAGAGAGAGAGGGUAUCCUUGUCUUGUUCUGGUUUUCAAAGGGAAAGCUUCCAGCUUUUGCCCAUUCAGUAUGACAUUGGCUGUGGGUUUGUCAUAAAUAGCUCUUAUUAUUUUGAGAUACCUUCCAUCAAUACCUAGUUUAUUGAGAGUUUUUAGCGUGAAGGGGUGUUGAAUUUUAUCGAAGGCUUUUUCUGCAUCUGUUGAGAUAAUCAUGCGGUUUUUGUCAUUGGUUCUGUUUAUAUGAUGGAUUAUGUUUAUUGAUUUGCAUAUGUUGAACUAGCCUUGCAUCCCAGAGAUGAAGCCUACUUGAUCAUGGUGGAUAAGGUUUUUGAUGUGCUGCUGGAUUUGGUUUGCCAGUAUUUUAUUGAGGAUUUUCGCAUCAAUGUUCACCAGGGAUAUUGGCCUGAAAUUUUCUUUUGUGUGUGUGUGUGUGUCUCUGCCAGGUUGUGGUAUCAGGAAGAUGCUGGCCUCAUAAAUUGAGUUAGGUAGGAGUCCCUCUUUUUCUAUUGUUUGGAAUAGUUUCAGAAGGAAUGGUACCAGCUCUUUGUACCUCAAGUAGAAUUCUGUUGUGAAUCUGUUUGGUCCUGGACUUUUUCUGGUUGGUAGGCUAUUAAUUGCUGUCUCAAUUUCAGAACUUGUUAUUGGUCUCUUCAGGGAUUCAACUUCUUCCUGAUUUAGAUUUGGGAGGGUGUAUGUAUGUGUCCAGGAAUUUAUCCAUUUCUUUUAGAUUUUCUAAUUUAUUUGCAGAGAGGUGUUUAUAGUAUUCUCUGAUGGUAGUUUAUAUUUCUGUGGGACCAGUGGUGAUAUCCCCUUUAUCAUUUUUUAUUGUGUCUAUUUGAUUCUUCUCUGUUUUCUUCUUUAUUAGUCUGGCUAGUGGUCUAUUUUGUUGAUCUUUUCAAAAAACCAGCUCGUGGGUUCAUUGAUUUUUUUUUUUUGAAGGAUUUUUCGUGUCUCCGUUUACUUCAGUUCUGCUCUGAUCUUAGUUAUUUCUUGUCUUCUGUUAGCUUUUGAAUGUGUUUGCUCUCGCUUCUCUAGUUCUUUUCAUUGUGAUGUUAGGGUGUCGAUUUUAGAUCUUUCCUGCUUUCUCUUGUGGCCAUUCAGUGCUAUAAAUUUCCCUUUAAACACUAUUUUGGGUAUGUACCAGAGAUUCUGGUAUGUUGUGCCUUUGUUCUCAUUGGUUUCAAAGAACUUAUUUUCUGCCUUAAUUUUAUUAUUUACCCAGUAGUCAUUCAGGAGUAGGUUGUUCAAUUUCCAUGUAGUUGUGCAGUUUUGGGUCAGUUUCUUAAUCCUGAGUUCUAAUUUGAUGCACUGUGGUUUGAGAUACUGUUUGUUAUGAUUUCCAUUCUUUUGCAUUUGCUGAGGAGUAUUUUACUUCCAAUUCUGUUGGUCAAUUUUAGAAUAAGUGUGAUGUGGUGCUGAGAAGAAUGUAUAUUCUAUGAAUUUGGGGUGGAGAGUUCUGUAGAUGUCUAUUAGGUCUGCUUGGUCCAGAACUGAGUUCAAGUCCUGAAUAUCCUUAUUAAUUUUCUGUCCCAUUGAUCUGUCUAAUAUUGACAGUGGGUCGUUAAAGUCUCCCACUAUUAUUGUAUGGGAGUUGAAGUCUCUUUGUGGGUCUCUAAUAACUUGCCUUUUGAAUCUGGGUGGUCCUGUAUUGGGUGCAUAUAUAUUUAGGAGAGUUAGCAUAGUUAGCUCUUUUUGUUGCAUCAAUCCCUUUACCAUUAUGUAAAGCCCUUCUUUGUCUUUUUUGAUCUUUGUUGGUUUAAAGUCUGUUUUAUCAGAUAUUAGGAUUGCAACCCCUGCUUUUUUUGCUUUCCAUUUACUUGGUAAAUAUUCCUCCAAUCCUUUAUUUUGAGUCUAUGUGUGUCUUUGCACGUGAGAUCGGUCUCCUGAAUACAGCACACCGUUGCUUCUUGACUCUAUCUAAUUUGCCAGUCUGUUUCUUUUAAUUGGGGCAUUUAGUCCAUUUACAUGUAAGGUUAAUAUUGUUAUGUGUGAAUUUGAUUCUGUCAUUAUGAUGCUAGCUGGUUAUUUUGCCUGUUGAUGCAGUUUCUUCAUAGUGUUGAUGGUCUUUACAAUUUGGUAUGUUUUUGCAGUGGCUGGUACUGGUUUUUCCUUUCCAUGUUUAGUGCUUCCUUUAGGAGCUCUUGUAAGGCAAGCCUGGUGGUGACAAAAUCUCUCAGCAUUUGCUUGUCUGUAAAGGAUUUUAUUUCUUCUUCACUUUUGAAGCUUAGUUUGGCUGGAUAUGAAAUUCUGGGUUGAAAAUUCUUUUCUUUAAGAAAGUUGAAUAUUGGCCCCCACUCUCUUCUGUCUUGUAGGGUUUCUGCAGAGAGAUCCACUGUUAGUCUGAUGGGCUUUCCUUUGUGGGUAACCUAACCUUUCUCUCUGGUUGCCCUUAACAUUUUUUUCUUCAUUUCAACAUUGGUGAAUGUGACGAUUAUGUGUCUUAGGGUUGCUCUUCUCAAGGAGUAUCUUUGUGGUGUUCUCUGAAUUUCCUGAAUUUGAAUGUUGGCCUGACUUGCUAGGUUGUGGAAGUUCUCUUGGAUAAUAUCCUGAAGAGUGUUUUCCAACUUUUGGUUCCAUUCUCCCCAUCACUUUUAGGUACACCAGUCAAAUGUAGGUUUGUUCUUUUCGCAUAGUCUCAUAUUUCUUGGAGGCUUUGUUUCCUUUCCUUCUUUUUUCUCUAAUCUUGUCUUCAUGCUUUAUUUCAGUAAGUUGAUCUUCAAUCUCUGAUAUCCUUUCUUUGGUUUGAUCUAUUUGGCUAUUGAUACUUGCAUAUGCUUCACAAAGUUCCCAUGCUGUGUUUUUCAGCUCCAUCAGGUCAUUUAUGUUCUUCUUUAAACUGGUUAUUCCAGUUAGCAAUUCAUCUAACCUUUUUUCAACGUUCUUGGCUUCCUUGCAUUGGGUUAGAACAUGCUCCUUUAGCUCAGAGGAGUUUGUUAUUACCCACCUUCUAAAGCCUACUUCUAUCAAUUCGUCAAACUCAUUCUCCAUCCAGUUUUGUUCCCUUGCUGUUGAGGAGUUCUGUUCCUUUGGAGGAGAAGAGGCAUUCUGGUUUUUGGAAUUUUCAGCCUUUGUGCAUUGAUUUUUUUCUCAUCUUCAUGGAUUUAUCUACCUUGGGUCUUUGAUGUUGGUAAGCUUCGAAUGGAGUUUUUGUGUGGACAUCCUUUUGGUUGAUGUCAUUGCUGUUCCUUUCUGUUUGUUAGUUUUGCUUCUAACAGUCAGGCCCCUCUUCUGCAGGUCUGCUGGAGUUUGCUGGAGGCCCACUCCAGACCCUGUUUACCUAUAUCACCAGCGGAGGCUGCAGAACAGCAAAAAUUGCUGCCUGCUCCUUCCUCUGGAAGCUUUGUCCCUGAGGGUCACCCGCCAGAUGCCAGCGAGAGGUCUCCUCUAUGAGGUGUCUGUCAACCCUUGCUGGGUGGUGUCUCCCAGUCAGGCUACAAUGGGGGUUAGGGACCCACUUGAGGAGGCAGUCUGACCCUUAACAGAGCUUGAACGCUGUCCUGGGAGAUCUGCUGCUCUCUUCAGACCCAGCAGGCAGGGAUGUUUAAGUCUGCUGAAGCUGUGCCCACCGCUGCUUCCCCUGGGUGCUCUGUCCCAGGGAGAUGGGGGUUUUUAUCUAUAAGUCCCUGACUGGGGCUGCUGCCUUUUUUUUCAGAGAUGUCCUGCUCAGAGAGGAGCAAUCUAGAGAGGCAGUCUGGCUUCAAUGGCUUUGCUGAGCUGCGGAGGGAUCCACCAAGUUGGAACUUCCCCUUGGCUUUGUUUACACUGUGAGGGGAAAACAGUCUACUCAAGCUUCAGUAAUGGCAGACACCCCUCCCCCCACCAAGCCCGAGUGCCCCAGGUUGACUUCAGACUGCUGUGGUGGCAGUGAGAAUUUCAAGCCAGUGAAUCUUAGCUUGCUGGGCUCUGUGGGGUUGGGGUCCGCUGAGCUAGACCACUUGGAUCCCUGGCUUCAGCCCCCUUUCCAGGGGAAUGAACUGUUCUGUCUCGCUGGCAUUCCAGGUGCCACUGGGGUAUGAAAAAUACUCUUGCAGCUAGCUUGGUGUCUGCCCAAACAGCUGCCCAGUUUUGUGCUUGAUACCCAGGGCCCUGGUGGCAUAGUCACCCAAGGGAACUUCCUGGUCUGUGGGUUGCGAAGACUGUGGGAAAAGUGUAGUCUGGGCCGAAGUGCACUGUUCUUCAAGGCACAGUCCCACAUGGCUUCCCUUGGCUAGGGGAGGGAAUUCCUUGACCCCUUGCACUUCCUGGGUGAGGCAAUGGCCCACCCUCCUUCGGCUCGCCCUCCAUGCGCUGCACCCACUGUCUAACCAGUCCCAAUGAGAUAAGCUGGGUACCUCAGUUGGAAAUGCAAAAAUCACCCACCUUUUGCAUUGAUCUUGCUGGGAGCUGCAGACUGGAGCUGUUCCUUUUGGCCAUCUGGUCAGCCACCUUUUUUUUUUUUUUUUUUUUUUUGAGAUAGAGUCUUGCUCUGUCACCCAGGCUGGAGUGCAGUGGCACAAUCUCGGAUCACUGCAGCCUCCACCUCCUGGGUUCAAGUGAUUCUCCUGCCUCAGCCUCCUGAGUAGCUGGGAUUACAGGCAUGUGCCACCACACCUGGGUAAUUUUUGUAUUUUUAUUAGAGACAGGGUUUCUCCAUGUUAGCCAGGCUGGUCUUGAACUCCUGACCUCAGGUGAUCCACCUGCCUCAGUCUCCCAAAGUGCUGGGAUUACAGGCAUGAGCCACCACGCCCAGCUGAGCUGUUUGUAUUUAAUAUUGGCAUACGUCUUCGAUAUGAACAAGUUCAUUGUAUAUUAUUUAGGGAAAUAAAGCUGUUCCAGUGAGGGGACUACAGUCAGUGCAAAAAUUUUGAAAAAAAAAUAUGGAAAGUAUUUUGUCCUACAUGUUAGGCACUGAAAUUACAGUUACUAAAUGAGAGGGAAAUUUGAGAUUUAAAAAAAAAGAAAGUAAAGGAAAUCCCCUAAAUAAUGCCUUGCAAACUGAUAGCUGACAUAGAAUAAAAAACUGAAGCAACAAUCAAGUUAAAUAUUCUCUUCCCCAAGGGACACAGGGCACUUUAGAGACAAACUGGCUAUGUUCCCAUAUCAGCCUUGACAUUUUUACUGGACAACCUUAUCCUUCCAGCCUCUUUUGACCUCUCUGUUAAAUGAAGGGAAUAUUGGGUUGAUGUAGAGUUGAAAUGAGAUAGCAAAAGGUGUGAUGCAGUCUUAGUGAUCAUUCUUCCCCUGGAUUCCUUCCUCUUCCAUUCCCCAUUUCUUUUUUUUUUUUCCUUUUUUAUUUUUUUAUUAUCUGAGGCAGAGUCUUGCUCUGUAGUCCAGACUGGAGCACAGAAGCAUGUUCACAGCUCACUGUAGCCUCAACCUCCUGGGCUCAAGUGAUUCUCCCACCUCAUCCUCCCGAGUAGCUGGGACUACAGGUGCACACCAUCAUGCUUAGCUAAUUUUUGUAUUUUUUGUAGAUGUGGGGUCUUGCCAUGUUGCCCAGGCUGGUUUCAAAUGCCUGGGCUCAAGCAAUUCACCCACCUCGGCCUCCCAAAGUGCUGCUAUUACAGGUGUGAGCCACUGUACUUGGCCCCUCCCCCAUUCCUUUCCAACCAAACUGAAACCUCCUCAAAAGGAAGAAUCAAGUCCUACUCUUUUGAGGUACCUGGCACAGUGGUCAGUAGGAUAGGCAGUUAUGGCUUAGUUGAUUUUGAAUUUGCCAUUCUCUCUGCAUGCCUCAAGUUCCUACCCUACUCCCAGGUGAAUUAUCUGAAUAAUUUUUUUCUAACCUUCUCACCUUGCUUAUUAAAAGAACAAAAACAAUCAAUAGCAGAACUGCCAGGAAAGAAAUCCAUGAUAUUAUUUUCUUUGAACAAGAGGGCAGUUGUGAUUGGUGUAGCAAUUUGGGUAGUUUGAUACAGAGGGGUGGAAUUAUGCGGUGGAAACUGUGAAGGUGAGUGCCUCCUGGUAAUGGCUCUUUUCUUGCCUUUUAUACACACAUGGGCCCCAGGAUGAUUAAGGGUGAUGGUAAACUCCGCCUCUACUCAUGUGUCUCUGUCUGUUUCUAGCCAGUGAGUAGAAUUGCAAAAUUUAUUCUCUUUUUCUUUUACCCACAUCUUUUUAGGAUGUUUGCUGGGAAUAAGGGAGUAGAAAAAUAAGGCAAAACCCUGUGCCCACAAAAUAGAGCAAAGCAAACUGUCCCCCAAAGCAAGCGAGUUUCCCAUGGAGUGGCCAGUAGAAGAGCCUCCCAUAUCCUAAGGUUCUGGGGUACAUCUGAUUAUUUUCCUGCUUUUCCAGUGAGACACUGUACAUCACUGCUGUUCACCUGAGAACUAUUCUCAUGAUUCAGCAGAGGAUCAAAACAAGGAAAAGGAAAUAUAUUAGUCUGAAAAUUCUACAAUAGGUAAUUGCACAAGAAUGAGUGGCUUACAUAUCUAUGCAGCACUAGGCUAGGCACAAUUCAAGACACAAGGAAGUCUUAAGAUACGUAUCUAACCCCCAAGAAGUUUAUAGUCCAGUUUUUAGUUUCCAGCCAAGCCUUCCAUGAAGUAUUCCCAAGUGUAGAUAUUGCCUUUGUCUAUUAAUAUAUAUAAGAUGACACAUAAUAUUGUCAAUCUACUUUGAGAAAAAAAAAGUUGUCAAAAGCCCAGAAAUCACUUUGUGUCUGUUUUCUCCUCUCUUGGCAGUCUGAAAUACCAGUGUUGAGUGAUCUACUUACCCACUGCUCCGUCAUACCACUCUAAAACAAUCAAUGGCUCCCUAUUAUGUUACUCAUUAGGUCUCCCUUUUGAAUCAAUUUUUAUUUCCCUUUAGAAACCAUUUUUGAAUCAUGGAUGACAGGUAAAUUGGCAGGGGUGGGGGUUGGUGAGAGACUUAGGUUCCUCUAGUUGUCUCUGGUGUUGACUUUGUUCUAAAUCCAUGCUUCGUAUGCUUUUAAAAAUAGUUUACUUGGCAACAUUUGCAUGUGUGUGCAAGCACACAAGUGCACCCAUGCAUGCAUGUAAAUGAAGCAAUUUCAGAAAAUGAAACUUAUGUGCAGCACACAGUGAUAUUCUCUAUUCUAUUUUAAUUCACGGUUAGUGCUCAUGGCAACCAUCUUUUGACUUUAUUAUCUACUCUGGGUCACAAGCUUAGUGUUUGAAAAAUUUUAUCUAAAGUUUACACUGAGUUUACAUUUAUAAAUUCAUUUGCUCUAAUACUGUGAAGAAUGUAGAGAAGAUUCCAAUAUUAUAAUUCCCCUAUUUAAAAUGAAAGAAAGUAGAGAUGAAUUAACAUGCCUAAGGUCACCCAGCUAAUUUGGGGUCAAAUUUCCAACAUUUCCACUGUGCCAGGUACCUUUCUCCCCCACUCCCAGCCCAGACUCACCAGCACAUUGUUGGAACAAAGAGUGGGUGUAUGAUAUAGUUUGGAUAUUUGUAUUCUCCAAGUCUCAUGUUGAAAUUGAUCCCCCAAUAUUCAAGGUGGGGCCUAUUGGGAAGUGUUUGGGUCACGAUCCUUCAUGAUCCACUUGGUGCUGUCCUUGCAGUAAUGUAUAAGUUUUCACUCUAUUCAUGAAGGAGCUGGUUGUUUAACAGCAUGGCACCUCCUCCCUGCCUACUUGCCACCUCCUCCCACUAUGUGAUACGCCAGCUCCCCUUGUUUCUGCCAUGAGUUAAAGCUUCCUGAGGCCUCACCAGAAGCCAGGCAGCUGUAGAGCCGUGCAUGCUUCCUGUACAGCCUGAAGAACUCUGAGCCAAAUAAACCUCCUUUCUUUAUAAAUUACCCAGCAUCAGGUAUUCCUUUAUAACGAUACAAAUGGACUAACAGUAUAUUAGUUAGGAUUGUUUCAGGGGCAAAUAAUAGCAGGUUCAACUAAAAUGGCUUAAAUAAUAACUAGUUAUUAUCUUAAUAAGUUUCAAAGUAGGGCUGAUUAGUUCAGCAGCUCAAACACAUCUUCAAAGACUCAUGUGCUAUCUAACUUCUGCUUUGCCAUUUUCAGUAUGUUGUCUGUGUAUUCAGAUAGUUCCUUUCGUGGCCUCAAGAUAAUAGCCUAACCAUGACAUCUUUGAAAAUAAUUUCCAAAGCCCCGAAGAAAAAAUGUUCUGUUCUCUCUUUUCUUUGUAAGAGUUGGGGAUAUUUUCCCAGAAGUCAACCUGUGUCUCACUGUCUACUAUUGCAGCACGGCAAGCCUGUCCUAACCUAAUCACUGGCAAGGGUAGAGGAAUUACCAUAAAAGGCUCAGAAUUAGCCUACAGAACUGAGGAGAGGCUGGAUCUCCCUGGAAGACUUGACUUCACACGACCUGAACAAAAUCCCACUUAUGUAUGCCAGGAAUAAAGUGGGGGUGGAGGGUUGGUAAUAAUUAAGUAGGCAACCAAGUGUGUCUUUAAUAACGAGUAUGGAUGAAAAUUCCCAGACAGUGAAGUGUCUGUCUCUUACCCUUCCCGUACCCUUUGUUUCUAGGGAGAAUGCCUGAUUCCUUCAACUUGUAUUCCUGUUCCAUAUUCUUUUCAGCUGCCUUUGGCCCCUUAACUGUCUCGACUCCUGCUUACUUAAUGUCUAAUCUAUUCUAGGCCAAUUCAUGCCCUUCCCACCCAUUCUUCACCAUCAACCUCAUUCAUUCAGGCAAUUACUUACCCACUUGUCUUUCUCUUUUCCUGUUAAAUGAAUACUUGCUAUAUGGCAGACACUGAACUAAGCCCUGGAAAAACAAUGAUGCAUAAGGCACAGUCCCUACCUCUAAUAGCCAAAGGUUGAUUUUAAAUACUUAGUGCACUCCAAUAUAUAUACAGAAAUUUGACAUCUGCUUUUCUGAAUGUACAGGGUGCUCAGCAUCCCUGGAAACAGUCUGAGGGAGGGAUCAGAGUGACAGACUUUAUUUGGGAAGUACAUGCCUUUGGGUAGUAGGGGUGAGGAAAAAAAGGUCAAGGCAAAAUGAAGCAAGUAAGAACAAAGAAAUAAAGGAAAGUAGGGAAAACAUUUCUCUGCUGGCUACUGACUCACAAGGAGCAGCCAAGAGACACUGCAGGUCACUUGGUAGGGCGCUCUUGCUGACAUGGAACUGCAGGAUCAUCCUGAUGGGCUUCAAGGGGGAGGCUAUGCCUCAGAAUAGUCUUGGGAGAGAAGAAAUUAAUUUACUGGCUCCUUCCCAUUUCUAGUUUCCCAGUAAUCAAAGUUAACCCCAUGGAGAGUUACCACCACUGAAUUUCGGGGUUGUGUUAUUUGGCCCUUUGGUGGCCCCUUGUGAUGGUAGAUCCCAAGCCAUCUUGGGGUGGGAUGUGUGGUUUCACCCAGUUAUGAAAGCAGAGGGCCACUCAGCUGUGUGAUUAGCAGAGUGAACCUGAAUGCGGCACUUGAAGACUGAAAAGGUGUUUGAUUUCUGUUCAUUACAUUAAUGGUCUUGCAGGGAUAAUGUGGACGUAAUUUCCUUCUGGUUCUUCUCUCUUUUUGCAACAUUUAAAUCUUUAACCCAUGCCUGCUUGUGAUGCCAUGAUGCCUGAUGGCGACUCCUAAUCCCAGGUUUCCUCUGCUGAAGGGAGCUAAUAGCUGGCUUCACUAUUCCUUUCUUGCUUGAUAGACAUUGGCCAAACAUGGGAUCCUACUGUUCCUCAGACUGCCUGUGGCCCUCACUAGGUCAUCUGUUGUAACUCCUGUAGCAACAAGUAUCCCUUUGAUUAAAUGAAAUACAUUAGAAAGGUGGUUGAGAUUAUUAACUUGCUUCUUAAAAAAAACAGAAAUAGAAAAACACCUCCAUGAUGUCUUGAACAGUGUUUCUCAAACUUUAUGGAGCAUACUUAUCACCUGGAGUCCUUGUUAAAACACAGGUUCUAGGGUCCACCCCUAGAGAGUCUUUUCCUGGAGCCUUGGUCUGGGGCUAGAUUAUAAUCUAACAAGAUCCUAGUUGACGUUAAUGUCAGCUCAAGGACCACAUUUUGAGAAGAGUUGGUGUUAGAGGGGAAAGAAUAGUCAAAUGUUAAUAUCCGGACUUAAUUCCUUACUAGCAGGCAAAAAGGAAUACAUUGAUGUUUAAAAAUUGCACUAUCUAGGCCAGGCGUGGUGGCUCACGCCUGUAAUCCUAGCACUUUGGUAGGCCAAGGUGGGCGGAUCACCUGAGGUCAGGAUUCGAGACCAGCCUGGCCAACAUAGCGAAACCCCAUCUCUACUAAAAAAUUACAAAAAUUAGCUGGACGUGGUGAUGCAUGCCUGUAAUCCCAGCUACUCAGGAGGCUGAGGCAGGAGAAUCACUUGAACUCAGGAGGCAGAGAUUGCAGUGAGCCAACAUUGCGCCACUGUAUUUCAGCCUAGGUGACAGAGUGAGACUGUCUAAAAAAAUAAAAAUUAAAAAUCUCACAAUCUAGUGAGAGAAAGAAUUUUUUUAAAAAAUACAACAUAUUAGGGGAAAUAUUUAUUAUAGGGUUGUGUAUAAAAUACUAAUGGGAAAGGCUUUCCAGACAAAGGUGUAUUUAAACUGGAUCAAGAGGGAUGAGCUGUUUUCCAGGCAGAGAGAUGUAAAGGCAAGGUGUAAAGGCAGCAUUUAGCUGAGGCACAGGGAUAUCUAUGUGGGGUUGAUGGGAGGAGUUGGGGAUGAUUUAGUUUGAUUAGAUCCUUAAGGGCCUUAUGUGUUACGUUAAGCACCAGGAACCUGGUCCUGUGGGGAACAGAAGAUAUCAUCACUGUCCUUGGAUGCUGUAGUACAAAGGGUCCAACUUCCUUCACUUUCUCCCAGUUUUCCUCAAUUGUUUUCUCUCACCUUUGCUUGUUUUCAACUUUUCCAGUCCAUUUAUUAGAUAUUUUAAUCGCUGAUCUCAGCAAUUAUUUUUAGAAUAUAAGUUUUCAAAGAUAUUCUAUGACUACUGCAUAAUUCCAUGUGAUACCAGACACGGCUUCAAAAAGCACAGGGGGUUGGGGUCAGGGGCUGCUUCCCAAGAGUCUUCUAUGGUGGACAGUUCCCUGGACUGCAGCAGCUGUCCUGAGCUUUGUUCUCCACCCAUGAACCACUGACUUCUGCUGGGUAGAGACGGGUGUCACCACCCAGCCUCCGCUUGACCCACUGUGGCAGGGUGCAGUUGCCUGGCGUUCUCUGCCACUCUCUUCCCAGAUGCUGUAACUGAAUAGCAGGAAACAGAAACCAUCAGUGUUAGAGAGAAAAUGAGCAAAGUGUGAAGAAGCUGCAAGGUGAGAGACGGCUUGGUUCUCUAACUGAUGCAGCCUGGUGGUAAAACAGUGCCUUGCAUGGAUGGGUGCUGAGCAAGUGUUUGCCACUAUACAUUUGGUCGGCUUUUUGGUUCAAAAACAAGGAGCGAAGGAAAAGCAAUUCUCAGGUGAUAGAACCUUUCAGAAAAUAUGUUUGCAUGAUUCAGGUCCUGAAACCAUGUCUGUUGGCUUGGGAUUUGUAAGCAGCUGGCAAACACCCUGCUAAAACAGCCAUGAUGGUUGAAGGGGCUCCAGCCUAAGCCGGAUGCUGCCCGUGCUCCAUUCCUUUCAUUGAGGCAUACAUCCUGCAAGAAGUUCAGCUAAGAUCUGUCUUGCCUCAUGUUGUGAGUCUCUGCCGGGCAGAGGCACGCUCCCAUCUCUGCUCUUAUCUCUGCUCCUUACUUUCUUGACAGCUUCUUUCAUUUUCUAUAAUUUUUUAGGGGGUCAGGGGCUCUUUAACUCCAAGUUCCCCAGUCAAUCUGGAGAAUUCUGACCAUAUAGCAAGGCUAUGCAGACAUAGGGUGAGUUAACAAAUGCAUAUGAUGUAAUAUCUGUCACCUAGCUUUGGACCAUAAAAAUUACUGAAAUCUGUAAUGAAGGAUGGUCAAAGGAAAUCAAAGGCAAUGCAACAGUCAAUUUUGGUCCUCAACAGAAAUAGGAUGUAGAGAUAGCAUUAGGACUUCUGUCAAAUCUGUAGUUUGCAAAUCAUUAAUCUCAGUAUUUAGCCUGUGAAUAAUCUUAGCCAAGUCAAUUAACCUUCUUGGGCCUCACUUUUCAUAGCUGCAAAAUAGAGGGAAUCAUAAUGCCAAUUGUGGACCAUAGCAGGGUCCUGGAAUGGCAGGGUGGGGGCUUGCAGCAGGGAGCAAAUAUGACUCUCACUUUAUAAAAUUUUCAAGUGCUAUAUCUUGUCAUUGAAACAGCUAAGCGAGAGCUGGGAAUAGACAUUCAGGGAUAGCACUGGAACACAGAGACUUCAGGAAAAAAUGCCUCUUUCCCUGUGUUCCCACAUAGGAAGUAUGGGAGUUCCUGAUGACUUCCUCUUGGAGACAACUUCCUCAACUUCCCACAUCUCAAAAUGUUCAGUGAACAUUGUUGGAUCUAGAUGUUGCCAACCAUGUGUGGAAGGUUAAUGGACUAUUAUUUAAUGUAUGCUCUUCCAAUAUCUUUUUUCGUCUCCAUAUUUCAAAUAAUAGCCAGGGUUUUUGCAGAGUGGAGAGCAGAAGCAAAUGGAAGUCAGAACUACCUCUAGUCUGUUUCGUUUUUGUUUUUAAGCCUGAUCUCAUUGGAGAGCAAAAGAAGGAAGGAGAGAGAAGAAGGAGAAUAUGUUGAGAAUUAGGAAAAGAAGAGAACUGCUUUUUUUUGUAGUAAUUUCAGUAGGUAUGUCUUAGUCUCCUUAGACUUCUAUAAGAAAAUACCAUAAAGUGGGUGGCUUAUAAACAACACACUUACUUCUCACAGUCUAGAGGCUGGGAAGUCCAACAUCAAGGUUCUGGCAGAUUUGGUGCCUGGUGAGGACCUGCUUUCAUUUUCACAGAUGGCACCUUCUAGCUGAGUCCUCACAUGGUGGCCAGGUUGAACAAGGUCCCUUGGGCCUCUUUUAUAAGGGCGCUGAUCCCAUUCAUGAGGACUCUGCCUUCAUAACCUAAUUAUCUCCCAAAGGGCCCCCAUCUCCUAAUAGCAUCACCUAGGGGUUAGCAUUUCAACACAGACAUUCAGACCACAGCAAGGUGUAAUAAAACACCAGAAGGAUAGGCUCUUUUGAUGCACACACUGUGUGGAAGCAGGGCCCCAAACCAGCAUAUAUUCCUGGUACACCACAUGUGACCAGGAAGCUAAUAGCUGAGGGACUGUAAGGAACCUCUGCUGGAACAACACAGAGGCCUGAUACUCAGAUUAUAUUGGAGAUAAGAUAAAUUUUAUGUUGGGAGAGAGAGGAGCUGUGGCAGUAAUGAGAGAUGGGAAUUUCCAAUAGUGUGAUUGGCUGGAGCCCCGAGUCCAGAUUAAUUGAUUUAAAGGAAAUAAAGUAGUAUUUCCUAUGUGUACAAAUUCAAGAUUUAUACCCAUAGCACUGAGUUUGACCUAGAGUAUUUGGAGCUCUCGGAGUAGCUGGGUGGGAUGCAGGACCCAAAUCAGAAGGAUGGGAAAGCCCUGGUAUGAUUCCCCUGACACAAGGUUGUUUUCCCCUUGGUAGACAGGUGGUACUCUCUAGCAACAGGGAAUGUUUUUGGUUUUGGUUUGUUUUUUGGUGGAAUGUUGCUGUUGUGGGUCCAAAGCCGUGUGCCUGAGGAAAGGUUUCCAGGUCAGAGAUUUUAAUGUGAGUUCAGGCCCACCACCACCCAAAUUAGCCUAAAUCAGCAAGCGUGGCAAGUCAGGAAAAGAAGGGAGUUGCUUCCUUAGUUCCAUAGUGUCACUUUGGGGUCAUGGCUUUGGGGAAGGGAGCUUGAGUUUAAAACAGUUAUUCCCAGGAAGGCACAAAUUUGGCACCUGUUGGCUGUCAGGACUGUUGUGGCAGGAGAAAUGGUGGAGAGGCUAAGCAUAGAUGCUCUGUUUAAUUACCCUUAUUCUGCUGGCAUGGUCUGGGGAUGAUCUGGGGAUUAAAUUUGUGCUGAUUUCUUUACUCUCAUUAUCAUGACAAAUGGAUUGUCAUUUAGAAAAAAGUAGAAUUUGUGAGGAAUAAGCAAACAGAGUUUUUAGUUAGCAAAGAGAUAGGAAACUCUAAACUCUUUAUCCAGGAUCUUAGUAAGCUCAAAAACAAAAAACAAACAAAGUUUUUAUGGUAUCAAGUUAAAAACUCUUUAAUAUCUCAAAAUAUCUUAUCAGAUUGAAUUAUAUCCAAUAUCAAUUUGAUGGCUAUAUUCAACACAUAUUAAGAACCUACUGUGUACCAGGCAUAGUUUUAAGUGCUAGUGAUAUAUUGGUAAGCAAAGACCUUGCUCUCAUGGAGCUGUGGUCUGGUGGGAGAGACAGAUAACAAAAACAAACACGUAUAUAAAUCUGUGAGAAGUGUUAUAAAGAAAAUUGAGCAGGGUUAUGAGAAUAAAGCUACAGAAUGGGGGAUAUCUCACACAGGAUGGUUAGCAAUGGCUCUGCGGCUCCAGGCCCUGCCUACUCUCUCACUUUUCCUCAGUUUCUCCAGAUGUCUCAAGCUCAUUUAUGCCUCAAGAUCUUUGCAAAUGUUUCUUGUCUGGAUCCCCUUCCUCUUCCUGUCAACUUUUUCCCUAGUUACCUCUUACAAUCCUUCAGAACUCAGAUGCAAAUCACUUUCUCAAGGCCUCAAGGAAGCCUUCUGUGGCCCUCCGGAACAGAUCAAGUUCAGGUUCCUGCUUAUUUACCCCACUGAGCUCCUUCAUUGUACUGAUCACAUAUAUAAUUAUAUGAGUAUUGUUUAAGCCUUUGUCCCCUCCAGACUGUAAGCUCCAUGAAAGCAAACACUGUGUCUCAUUAACUUAUUGUUGAGUCCUUAAAACUUUGUAGUUUGCGGAGUAGGUAACCAAAAAUAAUUGUCAAGUAUCUGAAUAAUUUUCAAUAUCCCAGAAUAUUCAAUUAAGUAAGUAUGGAAGGCCCCUUUCAAAGCUUGCUUAGAAAACACCAUGCUUAAUCUUAUAGGCCAUCUAAGUAAUUUUGGUAAUUUUUAAUGUAGCAAAAUUACUCAAGUUGGCUUUAUUUGGUUAUGAAUAUCAGUACUAACUUAUGAUGUCACUAUCCUUUCAUUUCAACCACGUUCAGUAUCCUAAGAGACAUGCUGAUUGAACUAUAAUUUAAAAUGAAUAAUCUUUUAUUUGUAAAAGAUUGAGUCAUAAAUAGGCAGAAUCAACCCAUGCUUUUAUUUUCAUUGCAUAUAAAAAUUUCAUAUGAAGGUAUUGAUGUACAGUACUAUCCCCGUGGGCUGUAAGAGAGGCUAAGAAACCACUAAAAGAAUAAUCAUUUGUAAUUCUCACACACAAUUUACCACUCUGAAAAUAUAUCCAAAGAAAUAAAAACAACUCAAAUCAGUUAAGGAUGUUUUUGUAAUUAUAGUGUCCCCUUUGUACUGUUUAAAACAAAAGUAAUCAAAUUCCUUUGGGCCAGGGCUGCUAAAAUCUACAGUUUGUGUCAAAAAAUAAAAUAAAAUAAAAUAAAAUAGGCUCAUUUUUCCUAGAAAAAGAAUCUUUCCUUUCACUGAAAAGCCACAUGAUUCAAGGGCUGGGCAAGUACUGGGAGGAUGUUUCCAUAUAAUCCAUUAUAAAUGUUUCCUGCUUUAGGGGCUGGCCAUUGUACAAGGUGAAAUUUUAAAAUUCUAAAGCAAUGAAAGUUUUGCAGAAACAAAUCUUAGAGGAUAGUGAAUGCUUUCUGCUAUGUAAACUGACAUCAACCCACCUUUGCGUUUAAAUAGAUGGGUUUACAUAUAUGUAAGGACAUUUGGUUUAUCUUAGUGGAAGAAAAAUUUUAGGAUUAAAAAACAGUAUUUUCUCUUUAAUGUAUUCUCUUAACAUGUCAGGAAGCUGAUGAAUAGAUAACCAACACGAGUAAACUCUGGCUCCAAUUUCAAAUCAAGUCCAUUUUCCUAUGAGCUCUAGAAGCCAAAAGGACUUAAAAAAAAGAAAAAGAUUGUUUAUAAUCACUGGGAAAGAAUAUAUUUCCCCAGUUGUGUUUCCGAGUUAAAAAAAAAAAAAAAGGAAAUAAUCAAAUGCAAGUAGCUGAAGUAGUUCCUGAUCAACAGAUGGCAAACAACCAUCACACAUGCAGUGCUGCUCCCUGGCAAGAAGUACUUAAGAGCUUCUGUCUCAAAAGGGUCUCAGAAUCUUUCAGAGGUUGUCUGUGGUUUUGUAAAAUCCACCUAUUGGCAGAAUUCUAAUCAAUUAAAAGCCUGGAUGUAAAAUGCCCAGCCCUAGCUCCACUGUUACCUUUCAAAUGCAGCAAAACAGAAGAAAAUAUUGGUUAAAGUUAAGGCACAGCCCUGGGACCAAAGACCUGCAGCUAUGUUUUUUUAAAUUUAUAUAUCUUUAAGUAUUUUAUAGUUUUCUUGAAUCUUCCAUAAACAAGCUCUAAGGUGACAAGACUAUAUUACAGGAGAAAAGAAAAAUGUACAGAGUAUGUAUACACACCAUUCAUUCUCUCACCAAGAGUUUCCAAAUAUAUCAACACCAUCCCAUCAUGGGAUGAUGUUUUAAUAAGAACAGAUAAUUUACAAUUAACAUUACAGUAUGUACAUUGCAAUAAAUACAUGGUUGUAAACAGACAAACAAGACUGUAUUACAGGUAAGGUCAUUUGGUGAGAAAAAAAAUGCAUGGCACAAAAAAUAAAUAAUGCAUUCAAAAAUUAUCAUAAAGCUUUCUGUAAAAUCCAUUUCAUUCAAGUUUUUUCUUUCCUUGUCUGUAAUUUGUUCUAUCUACAUUAUUGUGAAUUUUAACUGAUAUAAAACAAAAUUAAAACAGCAUUAUUGUGUUCAGUAACUUGCAAGCUGAAAUGCACUGGUUUUACACAAACUUGGACAUUUUUUUCCCCAUACAGUACCCAGAUAUUGCAUUUUCUUAUGGCAUUUUAGGAAAUGUAAAGCCACUUGUAAAAGGAUAUUCUUUUAUUCUUUUUUAAAGCAGUAUAUAUUUCUGAAGCACACUUUGGCAAGAGAGAAGGGCAAGGAUAAGCAGAUUGUACAGUGCAUUAGUCCCUGUCUCUUGGAUAUUGAGCCUUUUCUGCAAUUUGAUUGUCCAUUAGUGGGUAUCUUUACAACACGGUACCAUUAAAAACCAACAAACUGGAAGAAAAAAAAAGAGCCUCUCUUUAUUAGUGCAGUUAUAAACCCUUUACCCUUUCAGGUCUGGAUUUGUUAAUGACAUAUUGCUGCUUUUUAUUUUAUUCAUUAUUAAGAUUCUAGGCACUCUGUGGGGGAAAUACUAAGUGUAGGGAGGAGAGGAAUGAGAAUGUUUUGGAAAGAGGAAUAAACUCUAGACUCUUUACCUUUCUUUCUAGACUUCACUCAGGGACAAAUAAAAUUAAAAGAAACAAGUUCCCAAAUAUUCUUGUGAAACUACUUGGUCAAACAUACGUCUUUAUUUUUUUCUUAUUUGAAAGAUUACCAUCUGAUCUUUACAGAGGAAACAGAGUAGAAACCUUGCAAUUAACUAGUUGAUUCCUCUUCUGCUUUAUGUAAAAGAUCAGAGUUAUAAAGACAUAAUUUUUAUUUCAAAGGAUCUAAGCAUCAGCUAGAUCUCAGGGGACUGAAAUGGGGACUCUCUUCAGCAUGAGUCAUUUGCCUGGCUGAUGACUUACUUUCCAGUCCCCAGGAGGCUCCUUGAGAAGUUCCACAUAUAAAUGCUUUUCAGAGUUGUAAUUCUUCUUAAACGUUUGAUUUUCCACUUGUCAGAUACCCACUUUGGCUUCUAUCUAUCUCAAUUCUUGAAUAUCAAUGUGAAAAAUGAUUAUUUGGGCUUUAAAGUCUUCAUAGAGAAGGUAAAGAAGACUUUAUUAAGGCUGACGUGGGGAUAAAGUCAGAAUUAAAUGCCCCAUGAUGCCAACUGCUAUAAUCAGGUAAACACUAGGAAUUAAUCUCUAAAACUGUAAUACAGUUCCUGGUGCUGAAAUCAGCCAAGAGUGAUCUCUAAUUUUUUAUUUAACCAGAAUUUUUACCAAUAUAAUAAAUAUUUUAGGAUGCAUCACAGUACUAACCCUCUGGUGCCAGUGGCAUCAUCUUCUUUCCCUCCAUGUGUUUAAAGAAGUAGUUCCCCUCUGCAAGAUAUGCUUAUGGAUCGAGGAUAAGUGAUAAAGGACUUCCUACACGUUAUGUGGCUGUCCAUUAAGGAAGAGUAGUUGCUACACUUAAAACCGUUUCUCAGGGAUGUUCCUGAUAUAGUUCUUAAUCCCAUGGUGAAAUCAUUAAAACCAAAUAGGAUUAGUUGUAUUGGUGUUUGUUAAUAUAUUGUUAAUAUUCUUAAAAACUGCCUAGUUGGCUGUUUAACUUUUCUCUGUAAACCAAGAGUAAAAGCUAGUCAUGAUAUACAACCUCGUGGUUGAAAUGAAUGUUAACCCUAACUUAACUACCUGUUUCUUUUCACCGGUGACAAUGGUAGUGAUAUAUUUGACAAGACCUCAUCUAGCAAACAUGGAUAAGGUUCAGACACACGCUAAAUUAUAAAGCAGCACAAGGGGAAAAACCUUUUUCUUACUAUAACUGGCUGUAAAAACAAUAAAAAUGAGCAUGAAAUGUGUGGAUUAUUAGAGCAUGAAAUGUGUGGAUUAUUAGAAAGACAUGCACUUGUGAAAUGAACAUCUAGUGACACAGCAAAACGUUAUUAGGAGAUACUAAGUAGGAAAACAUCUAAAAAAGACUGACCAUUUUAGCUACUGGGUAUUUAUAUAUCUCCCACUUGCUUCAGACAACACGAACUGAUGACUGAGUUUGCAUGAAGCUUAAGACACAUUUGAUAUAACACACAUAAAAGUAUUAUAGAACAAAUAGUCACUUUGCACAUGAAGAAAAACACUGGUGAAGAGCAACUCUGCUUAUCUGGAAAGAGUGAAACAAAAUGCAAAGUAAAUAAUAAAGACUUACAAAAAGGGUUUCCUGCAACAUAAAGUUGUUUUUCUCUUUUAAAAUAUGGAAGUCAUUGGUAUAUAAAACAAACAAUGAAUCACUACAAAUCAGUUAAUUGCUAUGAACUAUAAGGUGCAAGUAAAAUUCAUAAAUUAGAUUUUUAUCCAGUGUAGCACAGAUUUGUACUGAAAACUUGCAAGUUACUCCUUAGAAAAAAAUAACCAGUGGCAGAUGAAGUUCUGAACAUAGUUUUUUUUAAAUAUAAUACCUCAAUACAUUUAAUAAUAAAAGUAAGCUCUACAAAAAAUCUGUUUUACAUAUCAUACAAAAUGUAGAGGUCAGUGCAGCUCACUGAACCACACUAUUCAGUCAUGUAUCAGGAAGACUUGAAAUUAGAAAAUUAUGCAAUUUCUGUGGCUCAUCCUCCUCCUACUGGUAACAGAUUCGUGCUAUGUCCUGUUCUUGACAUAUUUGUUGCUUCGUCCAUUAAGUUCACUCUGUGCAAUGCCUUUCUUCUGAAAAUAUUGCAAACAAAUAAAAAGGAAUAGAAACCCCAAGUCCAAUAAACUUUUGGGCUGCCUGAUGAGUCACACUCUCUUGAAAAUAAUUUGGAGUAGAUUUUAUCUGCUUUGUCAGCUCUACCAAGCUGAAAUCUUGUUAAAAACGCUGUUCGUGAAGAUGUCCACCUUGCUCGGAUGACAUGGAGGUGAAAAAACUGGUUACGAUAUUCCUGAGCGCUGGACUGAGUAGUCAAGGUCAGUUUUGUUCAACAAACGUCCUGGCAGAUGACAGUGAGGUGUGACCGUGGUUGUGGCAUGUGACAUGCACUUUGGAAACAAUUUUUCUACUUAAAAAAAAAAAAGGCAUGAAAGUUUUUGCACUGUUACGUGUCAGGAGAACGAUCAUCUAUGACACAGGCUUCAGGCUGGCUUUCCUCUUCUUCCCCUACUGCCUCCUCUUCAACCUGUUCAUCAAGGGGAAUUUCAGUAGACUCUGAGUCUUGAGUACAAAGAGUCUUGGAGUCACUGCAGCUAGUGUCUUCUUCCACUUGACUGCCACUGUCCUUUUCCGUGUCUGACUCACCAUCUUCCUCUAAAGUUAGUUCAAACUGGAAUUUCUCAGUUUGACCCUGCCGGCCCUCCUCUGGGUCAUCAGGUGCAGGAGAGGGGCUCUGAGGGAUUGUGCUCUGGUACCAUUCACGAUUGUCCUCCAAAGUGUCCAAAAUAUCCUGGGCGUCAGGGUGGACGAGGUCUGCCCAUGUCUCCCAGAGGGGAUGAACAAUAUAGUCUAUGAAGCCCACCUAGUUAAGAAAAAAAUCCAGUAUGAGUAGAGGACUUGGGACUAAGAAACAAUGGAAAAGCUUAAUUAGAUCAUGGCCCACAAAUAAAACACUGAACAGAAGACUACUAAACUUAGUUUGGUAAAAUUGUCACUAUUUUCAACAACAACAGACCAUUUAAAGUAAAGUAUUGCUACUAGCUGGUCAAAAUUAGCUUCUAGAACCUUUGGUUAAAGAGCAUGUUCUAUAGCAUAAAAAAUUUUCCAGUUGUUGACAUGGUAGGGCUUAUUUUACAAUCACCAAUUUGUAGGUGAAUCCAGAUAACUGAAAUAAUGCCAUGUGCUCUAUGUAUAUGAAUAUAUUAAAUGAAUAUAGUCAUAAUAAAUGAAUAUGUCUUUAGAAUAUAUAUAUGACUAUAUGAAUGUAAGUCAUAAGAAUGAAAGUUCUUUGGAUCAUAAAUACUAAGGUGAAAUUGAGCUUGUCAAAAACAAAGUAAUUUUAAAAAUCCAGUAAAAUACUAUCAUAUGUAAUACAAAGUAACCAAAUGCUAAAGCGGUAGCUCUGUUCUCUCUGAAAGCUAUACACUUCAUGCAUUACCUGUGAUUUUUCCACGGAAGCAUUGUGCUUGUCACACAUGGGGCUUAUCUCCAUGCCACGUUCCCUCUCUCGGUCUCCUUGGCGGAAGAACUCCUCCAUUAUCCGGUCCGUCCACUGGCGGUACAGCUGGAGAGGCUUUGUUGGGUUGCUCAGAUCUGCACAGUGCACCAUAUUCUGAAGAACCUAAAAUAGAUGGAUGCAUUCUCUAUUCACUCCUGUUCCUUUUUUUUAAAAAAAAAAACAAAAAAAACUAGAAAUUCACAUUGGAUGACUGCAACACUUAAAAAUACACGUAGUGUAAGAUUUAUUCCAAACAGCUCAACCAUGAUGUGUCUGUGUAUAGUUCACACUUGUAUUAAUAGUUCCAAAUUAUGCCACUUCUACUGCAUCUAAAUAGCUUAAGAGAAACUGUUUAUGUGCAUGGCUGACUAGAUUCAGAGCUGCUUAAGUGGCUGGUUCUGUGGGGUGUUUGUUUGUUAGUUUUUUUAAUUAAUGUAGAUGCAAACAGAAAGACCAGUAGAAUUUUACCUGGUUAAUUCUCAGGAAUAAAAAUUUGGAUAAAAAUCCUGCCUACAAUUGCUGAAAGUAUAAGGUGGGAGAAGGAAGAAAUACAUCUUAUCAAAGCUGAACACGCAGACAUGUGCACAUGUGCACAGACACACACACACAGAGCAAACUCAAACAAGGCUUUACCUGAAUCCUAUCGGAAUAAUUAUCAAGAAGAAGAACUCCAGAGCUUGUCACUUUCUUAGUUUCAACCAUAGUCUUCAAAUCAGCCAGUAGAUUCAUGUGUUUUGACAUAUCUGUUGCAAGUACCUUAAAAUAUAGAGUAUAUUAUUAAGUUCAGAGAAAACAGAAUUUACACAUGAAAAUAUUACGCAGAAUAUAAGAAUGAAAAAGGAAUAAAACAACACUAUGCCUUUUAAUGACAGUGGAAAAUCCUUACUACUCCUUGGGGGCAGAGUCUUUUCCCCUUUGCUAUCAAGUUUUCCCAAAGCCCAGAUAAAUGUGUGUAAUAUACAGAAAUGCUAGGCACUGACAACCACUUUCAUGGUGAAAAAUGGGUGACAUCUCCAUGGAUAAGACAUCAUCACAAGUUUAUAAGUUUUUGAAAGCUAGAGAUUUUCCUGUGUCUCAUAAUCACUGAAUAAGAUGCAUAGAAAAAAGAGUAAAGUCAUGGAUGUCUAAAUGGCACUGUCUACUGAUGAGAAAAGGUGGGGAAAAAAUCCAUUUGAGCUGUGGCCCACACAAUCUGCUUUUGUUAGUCAUUUUUCUCUGCCCGCCACCAGACUGGAGGGGCCCAGAAAAUAAAUGAUGAGGGUGAGCUGACAUUAUUCUCAAGUCCAAACUGCUAGAAGUGAAAAACCUAUUACAGAACAUCACAGCCAGCAUCACGGGCAGCUUCUAUAACAUAAAGGGCCAUAAUAUGUUUUGAAAUGCAGUUCCUUUUACCUAAUACUCAUCUUGUUCUUAUGUCUAAAUUAUAAACAACUUGCAUCACAGUUCUCUUCUUUGGCUUUUAUCAGCUACUUACGAUGUCAAUGACCAUUUUCCUUAAAGAUUGUCUUUGUUUUUUGGUCAAAUUCUGGAAAAUGUCACAGUUUUCUUCCUGAAGCAAUUUAAAGCCCACAGCCAAAUGAUGGUUCUCUAAGACUGAGGAAUCAUUGUACAUCAAGGCAAGUUCAGAGUCUGUAAAAAAGACAAAAGGCCAAAGAUCAGCAAAACUGUUUGUGAGAAGUUUAUCUGAUUCUUAAAAUUCUGGAUUUAGGAUGUAAUUUCCCCUAAACUUCUCUGCUGCCCUUAUCAUUACCUGACAAUAUCCAGGAGAGAAUAAAUCAGAUAACAUAAGAGCAGGAACAACACUGGAAUGAAUCUUGGGGAGUGAAUUCUAAUGCUACUAACAUGUGGCAGGUCAUUUCACUCUGUAGGUCUCAGCUUUCUCUAAAGUGAAAGAAUUGGAUCUUUAACCUCUCCUCUAGAGUUGCCAUGAGCUCAGCAGAAUAUGACAUUAUUCUUAGUAUCUAUAACACAUCCAGAGCAUAAGGUUUUGUAUUCCUGAUAACUGUGAAUUACCUACCCUGCACUAUAUAAAGUGAGGAUCCUGUGUUACAGGAUUGUUUGUACUCAAAGAGGGUACAAGAACAAUAAGGAAUCAUAUGAACAAGUUUAGAUUUGCUCAUUUGCUCAUGUAUAGCUCUGAAAGUCCAAGCUUUAUUCAUUGUUUUCCAUUUUCUUUUCCAAGUAUCGUGGCAGUCAUUGUAUACUGUACAGGGAUAUUGCUCUUCCUGCCUGCUUGCUCACAGCUUCACAGUGAUGUUGUGUUUGGCUGUCUGUAUACCCUCUGGUGAAGAUUCUGCCACUCUCUCCCUACUGCCCUAGACCUGUGAAUUUUAGGCAGGGAGAGAUUCUGCCUCUCUCCUACUUCUUGUAAAUAGCAGACCCAGAGCUACAAGAUAAUCAUUAAAAAACUUUUGAUGCUUUAUUCUCUUUCCACUUAAUCACUGUAAAGACUAAAAGCAAAUCCGAGGCAGGAGGAUUGCUUAAGCCCAGGAGUUCAAGACCAGCCUGGUCAACAUAGGGAGACCUCAUCUCGACAAAUAAUAAAAAAUUAUCUGGGGAUGGUAGGGCGUGCCUGUAGUCCCAGCUACUUGGGAUGCUGAGGUAGGAGGAUUGCUUGAGCCCAGGAGUUCAAGGCUGCAGUGAGCCAUUAUAUCGUGCCACUGCACUCCAAACUAGGCAACAGAGCAAGACUCUGUUUCAAAAAGAAAAGAAAAGAAAAGAAAAAGGUUAAAAGCACAGGUAUUUGAUCUUUUUUCUAACGAAUGCAUAGAAAAUAUAUAACGAAUGCAUAGAAAAUAUAUUUGGAAAUAUAUAUCUUUUUUUAAGAAAGAAAUACCCAAUACUAUUCAAUGGCUAUUUUAAUGGAGCUAGGAAGGAGAGGAGAGGCUUAAGACAUUUUCAACUGAGAAAUUCUAUUAUUUUAUCGGAACUAUAGAAAUACAAAUUUGCACACUUAAAUUUCUGCUCCCAAACUACAGGAGCAGAGCUGUUUAGACUAGUAGGGAGUAGGUUUGUACAGUAUUUUUUUGUUAUUUUUUGUUUUCUUUAGAUAAAACAAUAGUGUUUAUCUUUUAAAAGGCAGUUUCUGGUGAACUUUUAUAGUGUCUAUAAAUGCCUUUAUGAACCUUUAUCUACAGAUAGGUAAGCAUAUAGAAAUGAAAAAUUUAAAACUAUAUAGGUUCUUAGCACAUAUUAUUGUAUUUCUACAGUGGAAUCAAAUAAACAAACAUAUAUUGAAAGGAAGGCAUAAUUAUUAGAUACUGGAUAAUUAUUAGAGUUCGUUUAAGGAAGGAAAUAUGCAUGUAGACAAGCAGUGUUAACAGAAUUGACUUAGCCUUACAAAAACCCUAAUUGGCUUAUAUGAAGCUGAAGGUGAAGGAAAUUAAGGCUGUUGACCCUGCAAAAGAAUAAGAUGAUGAGCUCUUCCUUCAAGGAAAAGGGUGAUCUGUUGUAUGGAAGGUGCAACAAAGAGUCUGAGUUCUACUGGAUAUAAGUAGGGCCUUUCAUGUAGGGCAGAUGUCCAAGAAUACUGGCAAGGCCUGUCUUGGAGAGUGGUUAUCUCCUGACACUUAAAGAGUCCAGAUUGGCUAGAAAAGCCAGGAAAGGAUGCCUUAGUGGACUGGCAGGCCUCCAUAGCCUCUUCCAUCUCAGAUGCUGUUACAGGAAAGUGGUGGUGACUGUUGAUUUUUAAAUGAACAAAUGUUAGCAUUUAAGAAACUGAAUCUCAAGGAAGUUAUUUAACUUUCUACUCUUCUUUAGGACUGAAGGCAUAUGGUCACAUUUAAAUUGGGAGGUAGGAGUCUGCAGCUCCUCAGCAGAUUUUCAUCAAAGACACUAAUCCAUUACUUGUAAGUAGAGUCCUUGAAGGUUCAGGAAUGAUCAGAAAGUUGCUGUCAGGAUGGUACAGUGCACAGCACAGAGGGGCAAAGAGGUUAGCUUAUAUAACAUUUUUGUUGAAACCCUUUCAUCUUCAAGCCCAAUAUAAGUUACCUCUUCCAUCAAGUCUUUCUUAAUUACCAGAUGAAACUGCCCACUUUCUCCUGUAAACUUCUAUACUACUUUGUACCACCCAUUUAGCAUGUAUCGCAUUCUACCUUUUUUGUCUUUAUCUCUACAAAUCUUUUAAUCGUUCCUCCCCAAACCCUCCCAACCUACUUAGAGACUUAAGCCCCUACAAAAUAUUAAAGGUUAUUAAUUUAAUAUGUUUGGUUAUCUGGCUUCCCCUAGGCACUUCAAUUAUUUCAAACUUACAAAGUACAAACAGGAAUACAGCAAGGCACAACAUUUAGAGGAUUUAGGUGCCAUUGUGUUAAAUGGUUUAUGUGAAUCAUCUCAUUUAAUCCUCAUAACUCUUUUAGGAAGAUACUGUUGUUAUCGACAUUUUAAGGCUAUGUUCCAUUCAUGGAUGGCAUGGAGCCAUAUAGGUGGGAAGUAAGUCUUUGUGUCCUUGGGAUAGGCUGGGGGAUAGAAAAUGUCCCUUGGGGACAUCUUUUAUACACAUAAAUAUUUACAUAGACAUACUCAUAUAAUCCUGUACAAAUGAAGAAAAUGUACCUCAGAGAAGGUAGGUAACUUUGCCAACAUCACCUAGCCAGUAAGUGCUGGGGCCAGCACUUAAAACCAGGCAGUUUCUAGAGCCCUCACCUUAUACUGACUAUGAUUACAAGUACCUUAUAGAGGUGAAAACCUGAGCAGUGAACACUAAACAUGAACCAGGAAAUCAACACAGUCCACUCAGUGCCUGGCACACAUUUAUAAAGACAACUUUGUAAGUAUUUAUUUUUUAUUGAGAGGCCAUGCAUACCUUUACAAACUCAAAGCCAUCAUUUUAUUAUAUAUAGAUCAAUUGUGCUCAUUUGUUACAACUACCCUGGAUCAUCAAGAAUAAAUUAAAUUAUGCCCAACAUAUGCUACUACUGAAGGCAGGAAGACCACUUUUGUGUCCCUCUCUUCUGAGUGCUAAUGAAAUGGGGGGAAGGGUGGGCAGGUACUACCACAUAACUGAGAACAUGUACUUCAUCUGUGCUAAUCUUUUCUCUCUCUGUAUUAAUCAUGGUUCUCCAGAGAAAUAGAAUAGACAUAUGUAUGAGUGUGUGUGUGUAUGUGAGAAAAAGACACAUUUAUUUAUUAUAGGAAUUGGCUCAGGCAAUUAUGGAGUCCAAGAAGUCCCAUGUCUGCAAAGGUGAACCAGGAAAGCAAGUCCAAAGGCCAGAGAAUCAACCAGGAACCCUGAUGUUAGAGGCAGGAGAAUAUGUAUGUCCAGGCUCCGAGAAAGCAAAUUGCCCUUCCCCCAAUGUUUUGUUCUUCUCUUUGAGGUCCUCAAUGGAUUGACUGAUCCCUGCCAACAAUGGUAAGGGCAAUCUUCUUUAAUCAGUCUACCAAUUCAAAUGCUAAUCUAAUCUCUUCCAGGAACACUCUCACAGACGCACCCCAAAAUAGUGUUUUACCAGCUAUCUGGGCAUCCCUUAGCCUAGUCAAGCUGACACAUAAAAUUAACCAUUACAAAUUCUGCCCCUUGUCACCCUGGUACCCAUAAGCAUCUCCUUUAACCAUAUUUAAUCUCCAUAAGGCCAUAAUUCUACCAAACAGGCUACAACUAUCCUGCAUACAACUAAAAGCACACUAACACAUUCCCCAGAAGUGAAAGUAAAGUUUUUGAGUAAUGUUUACUCUUAUCCUGAUAGCCUAUAACUUAAAUACUAUGAUAUAAAAUAAAUACUUAAAUACUAAUAUAAAGUUAAUACCUCUUAUGUUAUAUAAGGGAAUAAGAAAAAGAAAAUGAAGAUAUAUGCUUAAUAUAUGUAUAUAUACAUAUAAAUGCAUUCAUAAGAAAAUACUCAUGACAAUUAUAGUCCUUAUUUCUAUAACUGGUCAUAUGGUCAUAGCUGGUAUUUGUAAUUACCUUCUUUUACUACUCAUUCUGUAUUCCCUUUUCCCUCAGCAAGCACCUCAGCUGGUCAUGAUUCUUUACCUGGUGGGGUGACCGAAACCUUCAUUCGUGAAGGGUAUGGGUUAUUAGUGGUCCUGCCUGGAUUGGGUUAUUUUGUGCUGACCUUAAUUACAGGGCAUGGUUAAUACUAAGGGAUGCCCUAAGGGAUCUCCUUAUUCCACACAUACUCUUCCUUACCUUCAUUGUGGAGUAGUAACCCAAUUUCCCCUUGGUAGUCAGGAUCAGUCACCCCAGUCAACACUGUAAUGCCCUUCUUGGAUGAUUGAAUCAGAUGCAUAAGGAGCUCAAAGUGGCUAGGUCUUAACUUCCAGUUCAACGGAAUCACUGUUGUGUCUCCUGAUAGAAGCAUUCCUCCUUCUGAAACUAAGACCUCUAGCUAGCAGCACAUAAAUUUGCAGGAACAGGAAGCAAACUUUGCUAGUGGGUCACUGGGGGUAAUUAUGAGUCGUAACAGUCCCAUUUCUAUCCAAUGAUUCCUGGACCCAUGAAUUCUGGUUAUGCGAGAAAUAGCACCACAUAUUGGAUGCUGAUUCAGAGCAUAUAUGGCCUUUAUGGCCUUCUGGAGAACCUUGCCCCAGCCCUGCAAGGUCUUGCCUCCUAGCUGAGUAACUGAGUCUUCAAAAGGCCAUUCUACCAAUUUAUCAAGCCAGCUGAUUCAGGAUGUUAGGGAAUAUGGUAAGACUAGGGACUUCCAUGGGCAUGAGCCCAGUGCAGCUCUUCUUUGCCAGUAAGGUGAGUUCCUGGUUAGAGGCAAUGCUGUAUGGAAUACCAUAGUUUUGGCAGAAAAACUGCAGGGAAGGCACAUCUGUUUCCAGAGAAAGUGCCUUUUCCACUAAGGACAAAAUGCUACCCUUUCCACCAUGGAAGUGGUCCAAUGUAAUCAACCAGCCAUCAGGUAGCUGGCUGAUCCCCCCAAAAUGGUGUUAUAUGGGGGUUCAGUGUUGGUUUAUGCUGCUGGUGGAUUGCGCACUUAGCAAUAGUCAUAGCCAGGUCAGCCUUGGUGAGUGGAAGUCCAUGUUUCUAAGCACAUCCUGCCACCUCCAUCCCUGCCACCAUGGCCACUUUGUUCUUAGCAUGUUGGGUGAUGACAGGGGUGGCUAGGGAACCAAGUUGACUAGUAUCUACAGAAUGGGUCAUCCUAUUCACUUGGUUAUUAAAAUCCUCCUCUGCCAAGGUCACACUUUGGUGAGCAUUCCUUUUUUGUCCAUUCAGAGAGAUCAUUCACAUAUCUCUUCCCCAAAUUUCUUUCUCACCAGUUUUCCAAUCAUAUUCCUUCUAAGUCCCUCACUAUCCAGACAAAUCAUUGGCUACGGCCCAUGAACUGGUAUAUAAUUGCACAUAUGGCCAUUCCCUCUUCCAAGCAAAGUGAACAACGAGUCACCUUGCCUAAAGUUCUUCCCACUGGAAAGACUCCCCUUCACCACCAUCCUUCAGAGAUGUCCCAGAGAGGGGCAGUAGUGCUGCAGCUGUAUACUUCCGGUGGUACCUGCGUAUCACGCAGAACCAUCCGUAAACCAGGCCCUCUGUCAACUACUUGCAGGGAACUUUCCAUGCGACCACAUGUGUAGGCUGGGAGAAAGAAGGCAGUGUAAUUAAUAGGAGUGGCAUUAGGGCCACUUCUUUAUGUAAUUUGUGCCUUUAGUGUCUGCUCGGACCUGAUAGAUCGUGUAUUACACUACUUUUAUUUGAUGAUGAAAUGUCGUACAUGCCCAACAUAUGGCUUGGCGCGUUAGAUAAUACCCUAUUAAUGAUGGGCAGACAGCUUAAACCACAUGGAAACUUGGUGGCCCAUAGUCAGUCAGUAUCUCCUAAGGCCCAGCAGCAGGCCUAUAUCUUUCUUUCAAAAGGAGAGUAGUUAGUUAUCUUUCUUUGGAUGAUGGCAGGGUCUUGCUCCAGAGUCUGUGCUGUGAUUCACACAGAGGGCUCUGUCAAAGGCUCCAAACAACAUUCCUAUCUGCCACUGACAUUUCAAGCACCAUUAAAUCUGCUGGAUCAUGUGGCCCAUGUGCAGAGCAGCUUGCACAGCAGGCUGGACCUGUUGUAGAGCCCCACUCAAAACUAGCAGUUUUUGUGACACUCUCUUGUUCUGUGCCCCAUCUAAACUAGCAGCUUUUCAGAUCACUUAGUAAAUGGGCCAGAGUAACACACACAAAGAAGGAAUACAUUGCCUCCCAAAUCCAACUAAGUCCACUAGGUAUUGUGCCUUUUUGUGUCUUAUGAUGGAGUCCACAUGGCAGAUCAGAGCCAAUAUUAAGACCUGGAGCUGAAACAGUUAAGACUGGGGCAGACACUAUAGAUAUGUAUCCUGUAAGUAAGACUUACACUCACUGUUCUUACAGCUUUACUAGGCUUAGCCUUGAGUUAGUUAGAAAAUGACAGCAUGCUACACCAUGUCUCUAAGUUACAACUGAAAUAAACAUAAAUCUUCAAAAGGACUUCAGAAACAAACAUUUCUCCAUGAAAUGACAGAGGGAAGUGGUGGUUUUAACUUAAUAUUCAGUUGUCAAGAAAACUGCCUCAUUCAUCACUCCACUCUCUAUGCCCUCACCCUGCAUUAUUUUCCUCCAUAGCACUUAGUACCAUCACAUGCCAUAAAUUCACUUAUUAUGCUCCACCUUUUCUAGCAGAAUGCCAGCUCUUAAGAGCCAGGGAUUUGUCUUGUCUUGUCCACCCAUGUGUCCUAAGUGCCUGAAAUAAUAUUUAUUAUAACAUUUAGUAGGCUUGCAGUACAUUUUUGUUGAAUAAAAUAAUCUCUGUAGCUAUAUCUAUAUAAUCACAUUUGAUAAACAUGAAUUUAUCCUUAUUUUGAAGGUGUGGGUUUAUACAGAAAAAUAAAAUUCUACAUACAAUCUACUAGUGUAGCUAUGAAAAUUUUAAUUUCAAAAUAAAAGUAGAGAAAUAAAAAAGUGUAUACUGACAGCUAGAUACAUCUUAACCUUAAUAUAAUGAAAUGCCUCUGCUCUUGGAAACCAAAAACCGCAUGCUUUGAAUGCAUCACUAAUGUGAAUAAAUCUUUCUGCCCCAAACUUAGGCAUCUUUGCUAUUAACAAAAAUAAUUCAUUUGCCAAGUAAAAUUUAAUGCUAUAUUCUGUACUUUUGAUACUUUUUUUCAGAAAAUAAAGCUAAGUUAAAUAUACCCUCCAGCAUUUUAUAUUCAAAAGUUCAUGCUGCUAUUUACAUUUUAUGGAUUUAUUUAUUUAUUUAUUUAUUUGAGAUGGAGUUUCACUCUUGUCCAGGCUGGAGUGUGAUGGUAUGAUCUCGGCUCACUGCAACCUCUACCUCCCAGGUUCAAGCAAUUCUCCUGCCUCAGCCACCUGAGUGGCUGGGAAUACAGGCAUGCGCCACCACACCUGGCUAAUUUUUUUGUAUUUUUUUUUGUAAAGACAGGGUUUCACCUUGUUGGCCAGGCUGGUCUCCGAACUCCUGACGUCAGUGAUUCACCCAUCUUGACCUCCCAAAGUGCUGGGAUUAUAGGAGUGAGCCACUGCACCUGGCCUAUGGAUUUAUUUAUAUGCAUCAUCCUUUAAAAAUAUUUACGCAGCUUCCUGCCUGAAAUUUCAAUUUCUCUAAAUCCUGUUCACAGUACCCACACUCAAAUCAUUUAUUAUAGCUUAACCAACUCUACCAGGUAGAAUUGUUCUCUCUGCUUGCAGAACCUCCAGCAUGCUUUCAACGAGUGUAAAUACAAUUAGUAUAAAAUCAUUUGGCACCUAAAGCUAAAACAACUGAAAUAAUUAAGAAAAACGAAGAGCACAUGUAAGAAGCAGGAGGAUUAACUGCCCUGGGAACCAGCCAAGGGAAUCCCCAGCGCCCCCCAUGUGCCUUAAGCUCUCAGUGCUUCCGUAGCUUCCUUAAAGUAAGACAAGUAACCAACUAUGGGUUUAUAAAUUUGAUAAUCAGAGGUCUUUAGAAUUCUUUAUUAUGAGAAAUAUGGAUUCAGCUGCAGGCUUUGGACAGGAUGGCAGCUCCAGCUCUGAGGCAAGAGCUGAGAAUGUGCUGGCUUGACACAUGGAUGCUCAAGCCAUCCAUAAAAUAUAAAAAGUCAAAUUUUAAAAAAGGUUUACUGCAAACUAAAAAUAAGCACAAAUUUUGAUAAAAUAUUUCACGAAGCUACAUAUCACAAGUUUACAAGUUAUUAGAAGGAUUCCUUUACUGCAUGCUGGGAAGAUAAUUCUCUUACAUGAUCCCUAGCCAAACCAAACUAACUAAGGCUGUAAUUUUGAUAAUGCCCUGGGGCCCGGAACAACCCUGGGAUACUUUCCUGUACAAAGUGACAAUGCUGAUUCAUUCCCUCAGGAAUAACACAGCCUCAUCACACCUCAUCGUCAAAAAAACUUUAGCAAUCCAAAGCUACUCUGGCAACUGUGAACUUCCCUAUGUCGCUGUGGUCACACAGAAAGGAGAUCAUUGCAAUAUUACUAAAUAACAAAGAAAGAAUUUGCAGCGGCAGGAUUAGUUAUCCUUCCAUCCCAGGCAGGUCACCAGCAAAAUGACUUUAAACAGACAUCCUAAGGAGAUAAAAUUAUCUUCUUCAGUUUCCUCCACUAUUUCAUUGGUUCUCAAACUUUAGAGUAUCAGAUUCAUCUGUAGACUGAGGCCUUGUUAGCUUAAAUGGCAGACUGCACAGGGACCCUGAUGCCAGGGUCCUCCAGGUGCCAGUCAAAGCCCAAGUGCCCUUUAAAGCAGGGGUCCCCGAUCCAUCCAUCGGCUGUGGACCAAUAUCGGUCCGUGGCCUGUCAGGAACUGGGCUGCACAGCAGGAGGUGAGCAGCAGGCAAGCCCGCAUCAGUACUGCCUGAGCUCCGCCUCCUGUCAGAUCAGCAGGGACAUUAGAUUCUCCUAGGAGCGUGAACCCUACUGUGAACUGCUCAUGCAAGGGAUCUAGGUUGUGCGUUCCUUAUGAGAAUCUAACUAAUGCCUGAUGAUCUGAGAUGGAACAGUUUCAUCCCAAAACCAUUCUCUCCCUGCGCCCCCAGUUUAUGGAAAAAUUGUCUUCCAUAAAACCUGGUGCCUGGUGCCAAAAACAUUGGAGACUGCUGCUUUAAGGGCUCAAAAGAAUGAAGAAUAGAGCAGGUCCUCAUUACCCUUAAAAAAUGUAUCAGAGUACUUGGAAGACAGUGACCUUUCUAUCAGUUGUUUUAAUUUGUCUUCUAAAUCUACUCUUAAUUCUAAGGGAACAUAUAAUAUGCUAUAUAACAGAAUGCAAAGAAAACAUACCAGUUUGAAUGUUUGGUGUUUAAGAUAGAUAUAUAUAUAUACCUUUAACACAAAAAUUUUAUGUAAAAAUACAUUUUAUGUAUUUACUAAAAAUUGAUAAAAUUCAGAAUAUCUCAAGACAUUCAUAAGCAUCAAAAUAAAUCAGGCCAGGCUCAUGUAAAGUGCCAGCAUGCACUGUAUUGCAUGACCUCCCUGCUCUUCUUAGAAAGGACAUAAUGAACCCUCCCCACUGAUACCUCCCCACUGAUACCAUGUAAAUGCAGGGAGCUGCAUCCAAUGUAUAUUAAUAUUUGUAUGUAUGCUUUGAUGAGUUCUAAAAGUACCUCAUUAUAGGUGCUCAUAGGUAGGUAGAACAUGAAAUGUUAUCCUGUCUAAUCUGGAUAAAUAAGUUCCUAAACUAAACUUGUAAAAAAAUACUUGACUAACCACACAUCUCAGGAAAUCCCUGACUUUUCCAGUCCUCUACAUGGAUGAGUCAUUAGAGUAUAUUUUGCUAUAGGAUAGUCCAGAGGCCAUUAUAAGAUAUAAAAAUAGGUAAAUAAUCCUAAAGCUCUGAAUUAAAUCUCUCAAAGCAAGGUUACCUCUACAUUCCUUCUUUAAAUCUGGCUACAGCAAAGUACAGGAAAUGAAUGGUGAAUUCAUAAAUAAUUCUAUAGCUAGAUUGCUAUAGGCACGAGAAGACUAUUAUUCAUAGCCUCAAGCAAAAAUGAAAGAAAGGUGGAUUCUUAAGCAUACAACAUUUUCAACAACUUUGCAUAUUUUUUAUAUAUAAAAGUGAAUUUAUGAUUUUAUAAUCUACCAUAAUUUAUAAUCUACCAUAUGGGAGGGAAUUAAGUCAUAGUUCACUUAAAUCACUUACCAAUUAACUUCAAGUACCAAAUAGAAUUUCUAUAAACCUAAAUCUCUUUACCAAGGGAUAGCUCAAGCAUUACCUAAACAUUCCCUACACAGGCUUUCUGUGCGGCAAUGUCAGAGAUGCUCCAUAUUAAACAGUCUCUACUAUUCCUUAUAUUUCCAAAUUCAGUGAUGACUUCUUAUAAGGUGAGAUGUUAACAGUGAGAAAAAACCAAAUGGUUGAAAAAAUAUUAAGAAGUUCCUGUUACCCUUAUUAGAAGAUUUUAAAAAGGAAAGAACAGGGGUUGGGCAUGGAGGAGGAAGGGAAGCUAUGGCCUCUGAAGAGGAUUAAAUGAUGACCUACAUAAAGUGAGGAACACUUACCAUUAAUUCUCAUAACUUUUUUUUUAAUUUAAAACUUUAGGGCCAAUACAACUUUCUAAAUCUUUCUGCACACUUUCAUUUUUAAUUACCCUUGUCUAGUAACACAGCAAUAUAUUACUUUUAAAGAGAACUGGAACACAUUUUUCAAAUAUCACAUGCCUCAAGGGAUAUAAUGAUAAUUUUCAGUUAAAUUACAUUAACAUGAACUAUCACUAAAACACAUAUAUACACAUCUCAAAAGAACAUUAUGGCUCUGGAAGACUCUGAGUUUAUAAAGACCCUUAGUCAUUCUAAAAUGUACAAGGGAAAAAUGUGUUCUGAAAAAAUAAAGUUUACUUACUUGUAUUGAUCAGAAAUUGAUUGGACACACCAGGAUGAUCUACAUCAUGUAUUGCACUGGCAAAAAUUGCUGCAAGAAUCUCCAAAUCUGUAAACACAGCCUGGAAAAUCAGACAAUAUAGAUAAUAUUACUAUUCUACAAUGAUAUGAAUUAAAAGUAUAAACAAAUAAGAAAUCUCUAGAAUUUAAAUGGAAAACAAAAUGAAGCUUCAA